rnacentral:lncRNA from 1 species
UUUUUUUUUCUUCGACUUGUUUCGUGAACCACUCACUGGCCUCUCAUUGGAUUUCUGCCCACUGUUCCGCAUGAGUCAUUGCCUCCCAGCGUUCCUUACGAGUCACUUCAGGCUCCUUUAUUCUCUUCUUUAUCUAUCUUUGCUUGGGAGGCGAUGCUCGUGACUUCUUUAGUGGUGCUGCAGGUUCCUUCAUCGGGGCUGCUCUUGGUCCCGGCGACGGUGAUCAGGGAGGGGUGUUGUUAUUGUCGUCAUCGCUCCCACCACCAGGAUGUGGUGGAGAUGGAGACCUUGAUAUAGCAAGAAGCAAGGGUCCUGGAGCAGGUUGUGUAGGAGAUGACGGUCUCGAGCUAUGAGGAGAAGGUCGCUGUUGGGGAUCUACGGGGAGCGGUCUUGAGCUCUGAGGAGAUGGCUCCGUGCCGGGAAUGAUGAUGUAGCGUUUUCGCCAUAGAAUGAUCCCAUGAAGCGCAUCUACCAGUGUCCUUUCCCCGUCACCUCUCGGGAGGUCGAGCUCUAGGCCUUCAUAUUGGCUAUCAACAAUUUUGCUCUACGCGGACGCUGGCGUAGCCAGGUGGAAUCUCCAUGCCUUGACUGCUCUGCCCCGCUAGGGUUGCUAACGCACUCCCGUACGCUACCUGUACAUAUUGCAGAAGUAAACAAGUUAUUAAACUCCGAUCACGAGGCGUGGAUCAAUUGACAAGAUUGCAUAAAUAUUAUGUAUAAGUAUACCUUAAUAGUGAGGUUGCCGACCGGUGCAUGCAGCUCACAUGUGGUGCAUUGCGUGAUGGCAUCCACGGGGAACCGUUGCUCCUCCACGGGUAACCUGGGCAUCUGCGCAUCGGGGACCCCUAUAGAAGCACAACUGCUCAAGAGGCGUUGAGAAGGGCUGGCGUAGUUUGGAUUCGGCAAUGCUCCAGAUUGGGCCAACUCCGCAACUGCGUGGGCUACUCGACGAUUGAUUUCCUCCAACAUUCUUUCUUCUUGUGCCUGCACUUUGGAUUCUAGCAUCUGCCGCCAGCUCUCCUUGAUCUGUUCCUUUCUUCGCUUGUGGCUUCUGUACGAUGCACUGUUGCCUCAGAAAGCAAACUUCCACGGAAUGACCCCGAACCCUCGGCAACAUCCUGGGUGCUCAGGAUUACCGAGGGCCAAUGUGAGCUCAACAUUCUCUCGGUCCACCUUCAACCUCCCAGCCUUAAAAUCUUCAAUGUUCUUCAUAAGACGUUCGGCCUUCUCACGUAUUGUGUCAUUGAAUAUCAACGUCCCAUCCUCUUGGCUCAGGGAGCCUCCAUGAGCGUAAUACCAAUUUUUUGAUCGUUCGGACCAUUCAAUAGUUGCAGGUACGAUUCCCCAUUCGAUCAGAUCCUGUUCCAUCUUCCUCCAUUUCGGAAUUGUUGUGCCAUAACCACCUCGCCCUAGAUGAUGAUGGUAGCCCUUCUGACCAGCAUUUGUAGUGUUGGUCAGGAUAUUUUUCACAUCGUCUUCACUCCUCUUGUAUUCAACAAAUGCCUCCCAGUGGUCCCUCAACUUUGGCCACACUUUGAAGUCUGGAGUUCGGCCCUUCUUAGUGUAGUUGGCAUCCAGCAUCUUCUUGAAUGUCUGGAAUUGUAUAGCCAUCUUCUUCAGCGUCCACACUUGCACAUCCUUUUCAAUAUAUCCUUUGGGGAAUGUGAAAUGUCUCUUGACAUCUUCCCACAGCAUAUUUUUUUCUAUCUCCGGGAGGGCGUACGGAUUAGUUCUUCUGCCCUUCCAUUCUCUUAUGCUAAUAGGCACGUUGUCCCGGACGAUUGCCUCGAUCUGACUCACGUACUUCUUUGCUACUUUCUCAGGAGCAACCGGCCUGCCCUCUUCUGUCACUUCCGUGAUGACAAUCCUCCCUUUCAUCACCUUUGUACGACCUCGGGUCUUCUGCCCUUGCGUCGAUCCAGAGGGCUAACAGUUCAAGAUUCGUUAAUUAGUAUGUAGUAGUAACGGUGGCGUGAAAUUAACAAUACAAUUUAUAUAUAUCUUGCCGGAACCUUCCGCCAUGGCAAGGUGUUGCUGAGGCUCAUGCUCUUCAUUCCCAUCAGCGGACAUGUUGAGGAACAUGUCCGCCUGGGUGCCCUCUUCAUCGGUGUACGAUAUUGGAAGGUUGUCGCCACUACCAUCACCAGCGAUUAUCUGCUCCAUGAGAUACCUUGCGGUCUCAUCGUCUGCCAUUUCAACUAUUGAUUGAAACAUACACGGAAUCAUACAUGACAGUCAUAGAAAUCGCCUUAGUUAUAUGUACAUAAGGGUAUAUACAUGAAAUAAUAAAAUAACAUGAAUCCCACAAAGUACGGAAUGUUUAUACAAAUUUCAACAAAUUAGUAGUACUUUGUACGAAUUUCUACCAAAUUUCUACUAAUUUAUACAUAUUUAUUGGAAUUUCUAGCAAAUUACUAAUAAUUCCUACUAACUUUACAAUAACAUGAAUCCCACAAAGUCCGGAAUAUUUAUACAAAUUUCAACAAAUUAGUAGUACUUUGUAAGAAUUCCUACCAAAUUUAUACUAAUUUAUACAUAUUUAUUGGAAUUUCUAGCAAAUUACUACUAAUUAUUACUCAUUCCUACUAAUUUGAUUUUCUAACUAAUAUACAAAUAUCUAUUGAUUUUCUAACUAAUUCAUUCCCGGUGCCAGUGCCGGCGGACCUCGCGCGGUCGACGGUGCCUAGGUCGGGCGACGAGGUGGCCGAGGCGGCGGGACGGUGGCGGCCGGGGCGGCGGGACGGCGGAGGCGGGGACAGAGCGAGGUGGCCGCGGCAACGACUAAUUUCUAACCUAGGCGGAGCCCUUCGUAACCCGGGACUAACUAAUAAUUACUACUAAUUUCCACUAAUUUGAUUUUCUAACUAAUAUACAAAUAUCUAUUGAUUUUCUAACUAAUUACUACUAAUUUCUAUUUAUUUUCUAACUAUAAAAUAAAAAAUGUACGUUCCCGGUGCCAGUGCCGGCGAACCUCGCGCGGUCGACGGUGGCUGGGGCGACAAGGUGGCCGGGGCGGCGGGACGGCGACGGCCGGGGUGGCGGGACGGCUGAGGCGUGGACAGAGCGAAGCAACGCCGGGCGGAGGCGGCCGACGACGAGGGGCGACGAGGCGGCGCGCGCGACAGAGGCGGCGCGCGCGAUAGAGGUGGCGAUAAGGAGGCCCCACGACGGAUGAGGGCGCUGCGGCGACAGAGGAGGCGACGAGGACGGAGGCGGCGACGAGGCCCCGCGAUGGAGGCGGCCGUCGGCGACGAGGUCGAGGGGGCGCGACGGAGGAUCAAGGCGGGUCGGGGCAAUGAAGGAGGAGGCGGUCCGGACGUAGACGAGGCGGUCAGGCAGUGGGACGACGAUGGCCGGGCCAAUGGGGCACGACGACGACGACGACGACGGCCGGCCAGGGAGGCGGACGGGCGGCGACGGAGCAGGCGAGAGGGCCGGGCGCGGGAUCUUGGUGAAAAUUUGGCUAAGUGUAACUGGCGUGGGGGGUAGAAGAGGCUACAGUGCUUUUUAUCCCCCUCCCUUUAUCCCGGUUCGUAAUGGCACCCAGGACUAACGGCCCUUUUGUCCCGGGUCCCAUUAUCAACCGGGAUAAAAGCCCCCCCCCCUUUAUCCCGGUUGGUGAUGGGACCUGGGACAAAAGGGUACAUGCCCCCGCGGGAAUUGAAACCUACCCUUUUAUCCCGGGUGCCAACACCAAUCGGGAUAAAAGAGCCCCCCCCCCCCCAUUUAUCCCGGUUGCUAACUGUAACCGGGAUAAAAGGGUACGUCCCCGGCGGGAAUCGAAAACUACCCUUUUAUCCCGGUUGCAGUUGUCAACCGGGAUAAAAGGGGGCCUUUUGUCCCGGUUUCAAUUAGCACCCAGGAUAAAAGGGUAUUUUCCCACACUUUCAUCUCCCGCCUGUUUUUUGGAAAAAGAUUUUAUUUAUGUUUUCACUGCAUUUCAGGAUGCAAAAACAAAAAACUUCACAUUUUGUACAUGCAAAAAUAUAUUUAAUUAGCGACUAUAUUGACAAUAAGUGUGAUUUAGUCAUUAAUUCCAUACCAGUUCGUUUAGCCUCUAAAAUAAUUAUUUUACUGCAUCGCUAUGAUCAAGAAAUUAUUCAAUUAAAUAAUUUCAACGCGCAAAAAAAUCCAUGUAUGUAUGUGGUUAACAUUGUUCAUGUUUAUCUAUUAAAUCUUCACCUAACAAAUUUAAGAACACAUGAAAUCAUACAUAGGGUAAAUUAAAAAUUGUAUCAAGUACUACACAAAGGUCAUGUAAAUUUAGCGCAUUACAAUACAACGUUGUAAAAUUUCUUCUUCACGAAAGUUCCUUGAUCAUGAUCGCGGCGUAAGUACGAAGACUCUUCUUUGGAUAGCAGGAUGCUUGGAUCAACUUCAACUGCGAAUGGAGGCAUGCCAUCAAACUGAUCAUAAUCAUCUGAUUGGUCUAUUUUAUCCUCGACUCCCACAAUUUUUCUUUUACCUGGAAGAACAAUGUGGCACUUUGGCUCCCAUGUCUCUUCUGGAUUUCUCUUGGGUUUGCUACACAUGUCCUUCACAUAGAACACCUGAUGCACAUCAUUGGCAAGUAUGAAUGGGUCAUCACUGUAUCUAGUCUUACUCAAAUCUACUAUUAUCAUUCUGUACUGAUCUUUGGUUACGGCAGUUAGCUUCACACAAUUGCAAAGAAAUAGAGAGAUGUACAACGGUCCGUAUUCGAGUUCCCAUAUCUCCUGUAUGAAACCAUAAUACGACUCCUUGCUAUUAUUUCUAUCUAUGGCAUCUAUACGGACACCACUAUUCUGGUUCGUGCUUUUCUGGUCCUAGGCUCUCGUGUAAAAUGUAUAACCAUUUAUCUCAUAGCCUUGGAAUUUCACGAUUGUGCUAGCAGGUCCCCUGGCUAACCAAGCGAGCUGUGGGUGAAUCUCAGAGUUACCCAUAAGUUGUUGGCGCAACCAGGAGGGAAAAGUUUCCGUGUGAUGACGUGUAAGCCAAACAUCGGAUUUGGUCGGGUUUUUGGAAACUACCAUCUGCCUGUGAUGCUCGAUAUACGGAGACACAAAGGAUGACUGUUGUAGAAUAGUGUAGUGUGCCUGGUCGAACAAAUCAGUAUCAUUGCUGAAACUUGAUUUCCUUCCAAGGGUGCCCAUUCCCUAGAGCCUCCCCUCGUGGCAUGAAGUUGGAACCCCAAUCGAGUCAAUUGAAUCAAUAAAAUCAACACAAAACUUGAUCACCUCCUCUGUUCCAUAUCCCUUGGUGACGCUUUCUUCUAGACGGGCACAAUUAAGAACAUAAUUUUUUAGGACUGCCAUGAACCUCUCGAAAGGCCACAUAUUGUGCAGGUAUAUAGGUCCGAGAAUACCAAUCUCUUUUACUAGGUGAACCAGUAAGUGCGUCAUAAUAUUGAAGAAGGAUCGUGGAAAUAACAACUCAAAACUGACAAGAUAUUGCACCACAUCGUUCUGUAGCUUUGAUAGCUUGGAUGGAUCGAUUGCCUUCUGCGAAAUAGCAUUGAGAAACGCGCAUAGCUUUACGAGCGGCAACCGGAUAUUUUCUGGUAGAACACCCCUCAGUGCAACCGGAAGCAACUGGGUCAUCAACAUGUGGCAAUCAUGGGCCUUGAGAUUUGUAAACUUCUUUUGUUUCAUAUUUAUUAUUCCCUUUAUAUUCAAGAAAGUACCCAGAUGGAACCUUCAUACUGUUCAAGCAUUCAAACAUUCUAUCCUUCUCUUCCUUGCUGAGAGUGUAACUGGCAGGACGUAAGUAGUGUUGUCCAUUAUCUCUCUUUUCAGAUGUAGGUCAUCUCGUUGCCCCAUGGCUUUCAGGUCCUGUCGUGCUUCCAAUGUAUCUUUAGAGGUCCCAUAAACACCCAUGAAGCCUAGCACGUUCACGCAAAGAUUCUUCAUCAGGUGCAUCACGUCUAUUGCGUUGCGAAUCUCUAGGAUUUCCCAAUAAGGUAGCUCCCAAAUUAUUGACUUUUUCUUCCACAUGGGUGCAUGUCCAUUAUCGUCGUUCGGAACAGGUUGGCUACCAUGACCCUUUCCAAAGACUACAUUUACAUCCUUCAUCAUCUCGAAGACACGCUUUCCAUUACGGUGUGCAGGUUUUUUACGAUGCUCUGGCGCCCCUUUGAAAUGCAUCCCGCUCUUUCUCAGCUGGUGGUGAGUAGGGAGAAAUCGACGAUGACCCAUAUAGACGACCUUCUUACAGUGCUUCAAAUACAUAAUGUCUGUGUCAUCUAAACAGUAGGUGCAUGCCCGAUAUCCCUUAUUUGUCUAUCCCAAAAGGUUACUCAGUGCAGGGCAAUCAUUGAUGGUUACGAACAACAAUGCUCGUAGAUUAAAGAUCUCUUGUCUAUCCUCAUCCCACACACGUACACCUUCUUCCUUCCAGAGCUGUAAAAGGACAUCAACCAACGGUCUUAGGUACAUGUCAAUGUCGUUGCCGGGUUGUUUUGGGCCUUGGAUAAGCGCCGGCAUCUUAAUGAACUUCCGCUUCAUGCACAGCCAAGGAGGAAGGUUGAACAUACAUAGGGUCACAGGCCAAGUACUAUAUCCACUACUCAACUCACCGAAUGGAUUGAAUCCAUCAGUACUUAAACCAAACCUUAUGUUCCUUGCUUCACUUUCAAAGUCCGGGAAUGCUCUAUCAAUUGAUCUCCACUGGGCCCCAUCUGUGGGGUGUCUCAGCAUCUCAUCUUCCAUAUGUUCUUCUUUGUGCCAUCGAAUCAACUUAGCAUUCGCUUUUUUCCUGAACAAGCGCUUCAAGCGUGGUAUUAUAGGGAAAUACCACAUCACCUUCGCGGGAACUCUCUUCUUGGGAGACUACCCCUCGACAUCACCAGGAUCAUCUCGCCUGAUCUUAUACCGCAGCGCUUCGUAGAUGGGACAAGCAUCCAAUUUCUCGUAUUCAUCACCACGAUAGAGGAUACAGUCAUUAGGUAUGCGUGUAUCUUCUGAACAUCCAAUCCGAGAGGGCAAAUAAUCGAUUUAGCUUCAUAUGUUGUGGACAGUAAUUCAUUAUUCUCGGGAAGAAUCUUCUUGACAAUGUUCAACAUCUCCUGAAAUGCCUUAUCGGACACACCAUUUUUUGCCUUCUAUUGCACAAAUUCUAGUGUCAUACCUAGUUUUUUAUGGCCCUGCUGGCAAUCUGGGUACAACAAUCUUUCUCGUAGAAUCGACCUAUGGCGGAACCGCCCAAAUUAACCUGACUAAAAUGCAUUGAAGUCGCGUGACACGCGAUUAUGCACUUUAAGCAAGUCAACUUGGUCGACCGUCGGAUUUCAUCCGAUUAACCACCUAAACAGGAUCGAGAAGCAUCGCCCACGCGAAGGUGAGUAGCACAGAGGUUACAACAUUCCAUCACGACAACAAGUUCCACAUUUUAUUACAUCAGAGUUUUCGAAAUUCAAACCGAAAUUUGCAUGGGUCGAAGUCGAAGGAAAAUAGCGGAAACUAAACGUCGAUACAUGACAUCACGACGGAGCUGAUCAUGACAUCAAAAAUUCCUUCCUUCGCCGUCCGAGGAAGCAUCCCACUCGACGGUCCAGCCUAGGGGAAGCUGGGUCGGCCAAGUGGUACCCGCAACCAAACUACUGCCAUUACCUGAAAAAGAUUAGCCACAACAAGGCUGAGCAACUAGUACUCAGCAAGACUGACCCGUCGGAAAGACACGAUCGAGACCUAGACAUGCAAGGCCUUCUGGCUCUGGGGUUUUCUUUGCCAAAGCAUCUAAAGUUAGUCCUUACUUUCAACAUUUUAGCUCACGUUCUACGUUAUUUAACCAGUCUAGAUUAGCAACUUAUACUAAACAAGCAUGAUUUCCAAGCAAUUGCUUAACAAGCAUCAAGAUUAAUAUCAUUAUCAUGUUCCAUCUUUACUCAGUGCAGAAUAGCGAUCAAGUAGUCCCAAACUGUGAGAGGCAGACGAAUCGAUUCGAGUUUAUUAACCAUGUAUGGUAAACCUAAUCUCACGACAUCUGCGCACCACGAAGGGUCGCUUCAUUUGUCAGCCGUCCCCAUCGAUCCCUUAGGCACGUGUAAGGGCCAACUGCCUUUGGCAUGCAAUGCUCCAUAAUCCCGGCCUCUGCCGUACUAUGACUGCACUUGCACCCACAUGAUGCACCAUGGGAACGACGUUCCAAGGACAGCCGGAGGGUAUGCCACGCCCCAGUUCAAUCAGGUACUAGGCUUCCCCAUCCCAUACUAGGUAUGAGAUUAGUACUUUCAAACACUUGAUCACGAACGCCGACACGUUUCGACCUUUGUCCAUUUUCAUUUAGACAGACGGGGAAUCCACCAAGUACCGAACAUAAGCCUGACCCUGUCCGUCGUCCUUAUAGUUGCGACAUAACUGAACAUUCAACUCCUAUAACUCGCAAGUGACAGGAAAUCACUCGACUUUUACCGAAACCUAUUAAGCAUUGCACUACUCGACCUUAGCAACUAGUAUUCAGACAAGGUCCUAAGUUUAUGCAUCUAAGGUCUCAUUACAACUCCUGGAAACGUAAAUGCGCAAUCAAGUAAUCAGUAAGUGGCAUGAAAGUAAAACAGGGAGUUCAUGCACUGGGGCUUGCCUUCAGGAAAAGCUUGUGGGUCCUCGGGGUCUUGCUCUGGUUCGGGCUCUCCUUCGAAGGGGUGCAGCUCCUCGGCGGGGUCUUCUUCCGGUGCCGGGUGAAGCUCGUACGUCCUGUCGGCGAGAUUCAACUCUACACGGAAAUGCAAUGCAGGGGUUAAACAUUUUAGAUGGUUAUUUCAACACACUCAUGUUUUAACUCGGAUACUUGUAGCAAAGCUACAGGAAAGGUGAGGAGUCCAACUUCAGUUGGUGGAGAACAGGACGAGAGGGUCGGAUUGGGAGAAACAUAGGGUCUGACCCUCAGACUUAAGGAAAAACCGUACCGAGAUCCUCAGACUCAACACAGAGAAAUCCCCAAAAACAUUUCACCGAUACCCUCAGGUCAAAGAAAAAGAUGCAGCCGAACCCUCGGGCGAGGCGGAGAAAGGGUCGGCAAAACUUGGCAAGGUCGGGCGAGACGGAAGGAAAAAGGGGUCCGGCGGCGGCGGUGCUUCGACGGUGCUCCGGUGGCAGCGGUGCUUCUUGCGGACACCAGCAAGCUCGAGUACCGCGCGGAGGAGCGGGCGGCUGGUGGGUUGGAAGAAGCGGCUGGAGCGGAGAGGGGAACUUUCUCAAGAGUGUGACGGCGAGUCGCCGCAGUGUGGGGUGGCGCAAAGGGGUGAGCUCCACGGAAGCUCAGCGGCGGCGCAGAGGAGAAAGCGGGGCGCAGAGGAGAAAGUAGUGGCGCAGGUGCGGGCGGUGGCAAGGGGUGGCAUUGCCGGUGAGGGGGUUCCUUUUAUAGGGCCGGGGUGGCGCGGAGGGUCGAGGCGGGGCUCCGGUGGGGAAAAGAUAAGGCCGGGAGCGGCGAGUGCGCGGGCAAGGCGGCCAUUGGCCGGCGACGCCAUUGGGCAGAGGAGGCAGAGCUCCGGGUGGUCUUCGGCGGCGAUUGGCCUUGGGCGGCGCGCGUCUGGGGCUUCCGGUCUGUCGGGCGGGCGAGGCGGAGGGCUACCGUGGGGGUUGGGCGAGCAGGCGGAGGCGCGGGAUGCCAUGGUCGUGGCAGCUUUCCCGGUGGACAGGCAGAACGGGGUUGGCGGAGUGGAGCCGUGGCAGGCGGAAGGCGACCUGCGCGCGGCCGGCGGUUGGCUAGCCCUGCGCUCGCUCCGUCCUGUCGCGGGCGCGGGUUAGGCGCCGUGGCUCAUGUGCUGUCGCUGUCGCGCUGGUGAUAGGACGCCGGCGAGCUGCCGGUGGCCGGCGGCCACGCGGCGCGCGGCGCGCGAGCGAACAUGCUCGGGCGCGCAGGCGUCGAGGCUCCCUUCGGGCAGCAAGCCCGACCAGCUUUGGAGCGAUCCUUCUCCGAAUCUUUCAACACAACUCCCGAAACUCCCUUAAACAAACUUGCUCAACUCUGAUCGUUCUUCAAACUUUGUUUAAGGUGUUGGUUUAGAUUGUGAAAGGAUUCAAAGAUAUUUCCGGCCAAAGUUAGCCAAAAAUCUGGAAUUCCAGACUUAGGAUUUUUUUAAGGCACCAGGGGUGAGUUGACUGGUUCACCUCCCUUUGACCGGGGUUUUGAACAAGUUCGGGCCCGAUUUGGAUCUGGGUCAGUGUAACAAAGUUGGAACACACUUGAGGUACUACAACUUUCAUUAAGUCUCUGACUCGAGUUUAGAUAGGGAAAACGGGAGAUGAAAGCUUGCAAGAUGAAGGAAAACUCGAAUUCCAGGACUUAAGAGAUUUUCAGGAUCCUUUAGAAAACCCGGCUUUGGUUGCUGUUUUAGACUUCCUUCCACUCCGAAUUAGUCAAAGUGCCUUUAACAAAAGUUGUUGGAAUUAAAAAGUUUCACAACUCUUAUUUGGGCAGAAACUUAAGUUUGUAUGUAAAAUUUCAAGCUUUAAUUCAAACUCCAAAAAGAGAUUCUUAGGUUUAUAAAGGUCAUUUCACAUCUUAACUUAGGGAUUUGAUUUAUCACUGGUUUAUAGUUAAAAGUACUUAAUUUCAGGUAGAGUUGUUACAGCCUACCCCCCUUAAAGGAAUCUUGCCCCGAGAUUCAAGUACAGAAGGAACUAGUGUGGUUGGUGCAACGUACCUCCCUGAUCGAAAAGAAAACCGCGGAAGUUAGCGUUGAGAUAUUCUUCCGUUUCCCACAUCGCUUCGUCUUCCGUAUGGUUACUCCACUGAAUUUUGUACAUCUUGACCAUUUGCUGACGAGUAUGUCUUUCCUAUCGGUCGAGGAUCUUAACUGGAUACUCCUUAUAUGAUAAAUCGGGUUCGAUCUCCAAUUCUUUCGGGGUAAUGAUUUCAGUUGGAAUCCUGAUGCACUUCUUGAGUUGCGAGGUAUGGAAAACAUCGUGUAUCGCUGCAAUCUUCUCUGGAAGUUUAACUCGGUACGCUACGGGUCCACAUACCUCUACGAUCUCAUAGGGACCAAUAUAGCGCGGAGCUAACUUUCCCUUUACUCCAAACCGUUGUACACCUAUGGUCAGUGAAACCCGUAGGUAUACAAAAUCCCCAACCUUAAAUUGGAUGGGUCUUCUUCUUUGAUCGGAAUAGCUCUUCUGUCGAGAUUGGGCGGCCUUGAGAUUUUCGCGGAUGACUCUCACUUUUUCUUCGGCCUCUAUGACCAGGUCAGAUCCAUACACCGUUCUCUCUCCGGGUUGCGACCAGCUCAGUGGGGUUCGGCAUUUACGUCCAUACAAGGCCUCGAAAGGUGCCAUUUUCAGGCUAGCUUGGUAACUAUUGUUGUAGGAGAAUUCCGCUAAUGGCAAACACUUGUCCCAGUUCUUGUCAUAAUGAAUAGCACAGGCGCGUAACAUAUCUUCCAAAAUCUGAUUAACCCUUUCAGUUUGCCCAUCGGUCUGAGGGUGAUAUGUGGAACUGCGAAUCAAUUUAGUGCCAAGUGAAAACUGCAACUGCUCCCAAAAGCGUGCUACAAACUGACUACCUCGAUCAGAGAUGAUCGUUUUAGGUACACCAUGCAAGGAAACAAUCCGAUCAAGGUACAGUUCUGCAUAUUUCUGUAUGGUGUGAGUGGUGUGUACUGGAAGGAAAUGUGCUGUUUUGGUUAGUCGGUCUACUAUAACCCAUAUGGAGUCAUGCUUGCGGGAGGUAUUGGGUAGUCCGACUAUAAAGUCCAUGCUUAUGUCUUCCCAUUUCCACGAGGGAAUAGGCAGCGGCUGCAAGGGGCCAGCUACCCUCAAGUGGCUUGCCUUGACUCGCUGAUAGGUAUCACACUCUGAAACAUAGCGUGCAAUGUCGGGUUUCAUCCCACUCCACCAGAAAUUUUGUCGGAGGUCGUGAUACAUCUUGGUACUGCCGGGGUGAAUCGAGAACUUGGACAGGUGUGCUUCGUGCAGAAUUUGUCUCUUAAGCUCGGGAUCAUUUGGAACUACAAGUCGAGCUUCAUAAUGUACCACUCCUUUCCAAUCCUGUCGGAAACGUUUAUAUCCCUCGUCCUCCUGUGCAAGUUUCGCUUUAAUAAGGUAUAUCUCUUUGUCCUCUAGCUGUGCUAGAAUUAUUUGGUCAAGCAGGGUGGGCUCCAGAGAAAUAUGACUUAAGGUGCCGUGUGGAACAAUUUCCAAGUUGAGCUUAGCCAUUUCGUGACACAAGGUCUCGGCAUAAUUAAUCGCCGAUAAGCAGUUACAAUGGACCUUGCGGCUGAGUGCAUCUGCAACUACGUUGGCUUUUCCUGGGUGAUAAUGCACUUCUAGGUCAUAAUCCUUUAUUAAUUCUAGCCAUCUCCGCUGACGCAUGUUGAGGUCUGCUUGAGUGAAUAUAUACUUAAGACUCUUCUGAUCUGUAUAGAUGUUGCAUCGGGUUCCCAUGAGAUAAUGCCUCCAUAUUUUCAGAGCAUGCACGAUUGCCGCUAACUCAAGAUCAUGAGUAGGGUAAUUCAACUCAUGUGGCCGUAACGCUCACGAGGCAUAGGCAAUGACUCGAUUGUCUUGCAUAAGAACACAACCAAGUCCAGUGCCAGAGGCAUCGCAAUAGACAUCAAAGGGCCUAGUGGUGUCGGGCUGAGCUAAAACUGGUGCAGAAGUCAACAAUUGCCUCAAGGUGUGGAAAGCUUCUUCACAUUUGUCGCUCCACACAAACUUACUUCCUUUCUUCAGCAGUUCCGUCAUCGGCUUAGCUAUUUUUGAGAAGUCAGGGAUGAAGCGGCGGUAGUAACCGGCUAACCCAAGAAAACUUCGAAUUUGAUGGACUGAAGUGGGCGGCUUCCAGUCCAUUACUUCUUGCACUUUGCUUGGGUCUACUGCUAUACCGUCCCUGGAUAUGGUGUGUCCCAAGAAUUUAACACUGUCCAGCCAAAAGUCACACUUAGAGAACUUGGCAUAGAGUUGGUGGUCUCUUAAGCGUUGGAGUACAGUAUGUAGGUGCUCUGCAUGUUCUUCUUCAUUCUUCGAGUACACCAAGAUGUCGUCAAUGAAUACCACAACGAAUUUGUCGAGUUCGGGCAUAAACACCGAAUUCAUGAGGUACAUGAAAUAAGCUGGUGCAUUAGUAAGCCCAAAUGACAUGACUAAGUACUCGUAGAGUCCAUAUCGUGUAGAAAAGGCAGUCUAUGGAAUGUCGCACGGGCGGAUCUUGAUUUGAUGGUAGCCAGAACGGAGGUCAAUUUUGGAAAACACUCUAGCUCCAGCUAAUUGGUCGAACAGAACAUCAAUGCAGGGUAGGGGGUACUUGUUCUUUAUCGUCACCGCAUUGAGAGGUCGGUAGUCCACACACAUUCGCAGACUAUCAUCCUUCUUUUUCACAAAUAAGGCGGGGCAACCCCAAGGUGAUGUACUUGGGCGAAUAAAACCCUUUUCCAACAAAUCAUGCAACUGAGUUUUCAUUUCUGCCAGUUCGGCUGGUGGCAUCCGGUAUGGUCUCUUUGAAAUUGGGGCAGUACCUAGUUGCAACUCAAUGGCAAACUCGAUAUCUCUCUCAGGCGGCAUACCUGGCAAUUCAUCUGGAAACACAUCCGGAUACUCGCACACUACUAGGAUAUCUUCCAACCAGGCCUCAGACACGGGAUAGGCACGAGAAGUUUGGCACUCUCGGGGAGGUAAGUGUAUAGUUGAGCUACCAUACUUGGGUGAAUUUAUAUGGAUUUCCCUGGCAGGGAUAUCUAGGGUCACUCGGUGUCGGGUCAUCCAAUCCAUACCCAAGAUAACAUCUAUUCCUUCUAUCCCAAGGGUAAGCAGGUCUUCCUUAAGAAGGGUUCUCCCUAACUGGAUAGGUACUCUGCGUCUCAUUUGGUGUGAAGCUACCCUUCCACCCAGGGUAGAGAUGAUGUAGGUACCUUUAGUGUGACAGAAAUCUAACCCACACUUAACACUGAUUCUAGUCCCAAUGAAACUAUGAGAUGCUCCUGAAUCAAACAGAAUAAGGAUGGGUUGAUCACAGAUAGAAAAGGUACCCGUCAUCACUGGUGCGUCCUGUGGAAGUUCAGCAAGGGUGGUGAAGUUCAGCCGGCCUUGUCAAACCUGAACCUUUGGCUUCUUCCCCUUGUUGCUCAGUGCGUUGCCCUGACCGGGUCGUUGAGUCUUGUUGCGGGGGCAGUCCUUGGCGAAGUGUUCGGGGUUCCCGCAGGUGAAACAGUGGUUUCCAGUGACUGGGCGCAGUGGCAUCAGGAGAGCGGGUCGGGGCCCUUGCGGCUGGAAUCCGGGGAAACGAGGUGCUGCCUGCGGUGGAGGUCGAGCAACCCAUCUCCCAGGCUGUGCGGGCCUGCGAGGCGCUUGUGGGGGAACCAUUCUGUACUUCUGGGCAAGCGGGCCGGGUGCCGGCAUUGGGGCCUUCCUCUUCAUGUCGGCCUUUAGAGCCUUCAUGCAAUCUUCCUGGGAAAUUGCCAGGUUCACCAGUUCAUUGUAGGAACCCACUUUGAUGGGAUUCAGCCUUUUCUUGAGCUCCAAACUCAAGCCUCUGCGGAAGCGGUCCCUCUUCUUCUCAUCGGAGUCCGCAUGAUAGCCUGCAUAGCGACACAGGUCGUUGAAAGCCAGCACAUAGUGCAGGACAUCGCGGCCUCCCUGGGUGAGAGCCAGGAACUCGUUGAGCUUGCGCUCCAAAAGACCCUCAGGGAUGUGAUGGCCCCUGAACGCCGUCUUGAAUUCCUCCCAGCCGACGACAUGGUCGGCCGGCUGCAUAGCGUGGUAGUGUUCCCACCACAGGAGAGCAGAACCACGCAACUGCUGCGCGGCGAACCGAACCUUGUUCUCAUCCGGGCAAUAGGGGGUGAGAAGGGAGAACUUGGACUCGAUAGCGCGGAUCCAGGCAUCAGCGUCAAGCAGGUCCUCCGUCUUGUGAAACAGAGGAGGCUGGGUCCCCAGAAAAUCUUCGUAGCGAGCAACAUGGGGCGGUUGAUGGGCCCUUCCUCCCUGAGGCUGCUGCUGUUGCUGCCCCUAAGCGAUGUGCCUCAACAGCUCGGUUUGAGCUGCCAAGAUCGACUCAAGGGUGGUCGGAGGCGGCGGUGGGGGAGGCACCUCGCUGCCACUGGGAACGGAGCUGGAGCGUGUGCGAUGCGCCAUCUGCAAGAUUCACCUUUCCAUUAGUUCCAUAACCUCAGAAGUAUUCCAAUUAUGUGGGAAUGUAUAUGUUAAAUCCGCAAAUGCAACCCUUGCCGAUAAUGCAACACAACACAUAGCCUUAUUAAGGAGGUGCACAUAUCUUAGCGAGCAACUAGCUCAUUUCUGCAGCGUCAUUUUAUCCUUGCUACCGAUCGGAAGGUAUUCUGAUCCACGUUUGGUAGGGUCCACAAGAUCCGGUUUCUCCUCGGUUGGUCUGCACACACCCUUGGGCGAGCCAGAACCUUAUCCCAGGGGUCCCACUAAUUCCGACCUUUCGUGCCGGGGUCGGGCGAAACGGAGCUUUUCAACCCAGGGUCGGGCGAAACGGAGACCUGCCGCGAGGGGUCGGGCGGGGCAGAGACCGUCCGCGAGGGGUCGGGCGCAUCCGACCUCGCGACUCGGGGUCGGUCAGCUUUGGACAGGCCCUCAGGAAACGGGUGUGUGUUUACAGCACCAAAACCCACACAGCUUGACAUCCAUGGCGUGUCGCAAAGGGUCAAAAGUCGAGCCAAGAAUGAAAGAAAAACAGGAACUGCUUUCGCCAAGAUCAAAUCAUUGCGGGUCUUAAAAUACAGGAGGAGUACUCAACUCAAGGCUAACCUAUUACAUCACUGGCAAAAAUAUAGGUUGCCGAGGAGUAUAAUCCAAAAACAAAAGAGAACCGCUCAACCUAGUUUGACAUAACUAGAAGUCAUCGAGGUUGCCCACGGAGGCAAAGCUAAGGACCGGAGAGUGAGCAUCACCAACUGGAGGCUGCGGUGAGGCAUUCUCAUAGUCCAUGCUCGAAAAGCCUUCGAUCUCCUCGGGCUCCUCCUCUUGGGCCAUCGGCUCAUCCAGCUGCGCCUCUAAGGCGUGGAUGGCAUUAAGCUCAUCGUGAUGCUCCUGCAGGUGCUCAUUAACGUUCGCCAGCUCCAUGUUCACAUCAUAGAACUGGUCAGCCAAGAUCUCCAUAUCGUGCUCCAUAUCCACAAUCUCUUCCUCCAAACGAGUAAUCUUGUCCUGCAUCUCAGCAAUCUGGACUUCCUUCUGUACCAGCUCGAGCGACUGGUCCACCAUGCCACUCUGCACGGUACACAAGGCAACCUGGUUGGCCACUUCCAUCCCAAUCACCGUAGCCAUCGCUCGGCUCUGCAGCUCAACCAUCAUGUAGAACACAUUCAGGCAACGAGCUGAAACAAAAAUCGUGCGCUGAGGAUCCAUAAGCCCGAGCAAGUCCAUAUGCUCCAUACGAUCCAACCAGUCCGGGUCCCUUGUAUCUCGGGCAGGGAACAACCCAAUCGGGUCUAGAUCGAUCUCAAGAGGGUGUGCCCGGCAGAACUGGGUCAAGGUCUGCAAGGCUGCAAACUCCCAGGCGUCGUGGAGCGUGUGUCCCUCGGCCACCACCUCCAGCAAUGGCCAUUGUGGCUGAUCCGGAGGCGGGGGUACCCGCACGUGCACGUGGCUCCGCGGAAUCCCGUGGUCCUGGUACGCACGUCCUGCACAGACCGGCGGCGACUGGUACCCGAAAGAGCGCAGGGUGUCCCACAACACCGCUGGAAAACCCUCGUAGUGAAGGCACCGUGAGUAGGUGGCGCCAUCCGUGCCAACUGCAACGUGCACGGGCUGCACCAUCUGUAACCAAAGGUCAAGUGAGAAACGGAGUUAACACUUGGAAAUCCAACAGAUUUCUAGCAGUUAGAGAAAAGCUCAUAACUCAGCAAGUAUUCCUCCAAAACUUCUCAAAUUUUACCAGUAGGUUCUUUAGAUAGUGUGUAACAAGUUUGGUAUUCAAAGGUAAGGCUAGAACAGAACCUAACAAGGUGAUAAUCUCAGAUUCCCCUUAAGUGUACCUGCUGGAAUUUUUCAGACCGAGCCAAGAUAAACUGAACAUAACUUCCAAACUAGAGACUUAACAAAGAUGAAACUCUACCAGUAAGUCCUUUAAUAAGUUCUGAAAAGCUUUUCUUAAAGGACUACUAGCACAAAAGGUCCUUAAGGUGGUCGAAACAGCAGAAACCCGCUGGUGUGCACUUAGAGCUAACAGCCAACAGGGGUCACAAACUGAUCACAACUCUCCACCCAAAUGGUAGUACCUUGUGAAAAAUUUUCAGCGGUUUACUUGGGAGAUUUAACACAACUUUCUUAUACAAAGUUUCUGGAGUUAUCAUGCAGAUCCACCUGAAAGAUUUAUUUUACCGAGCAUGGCGAAAGAAGGACAGCGAGACAAUCCUUAACGCGGUGCAUUUCUUUUACGACGCACUCGAGUUCAGUUUUAUUUCCUUAGGUUGGGAUUUUUAUUUCUUAAUGCAUGCACGUCCUAGUCGUCCUCUCAACCAAAAAUAAUUGCCAAAAACCUUUGGACUUACGUGGUUAGCGCCGGUGGCAAGGCAACAAUACGGCUCUCACUAUAAUAACUAGUCGAGUUACUAGGCAUCGCUUCGAACGCAACGUUGUUAGUGUACCUGCAGAAAAACAGAACACAGCUUGAACCUUCCGUGCCAGCACUCACGAAAGCGUCCACAAUCAUUACCGUUCACUAUAGAAACGGCACCCAUGCAUUUAACGCUGCAUGGACAGCGCAACAACCGUGGAAAUAGGUUCCUUCGAAUGGAAUCCUAUAACCCUUCGCAUUCUCGUGAUGCGGAAUCAUGCACACGUAUAAUAAACGUGGCAAACAACCGUGACGAUAGGCUCGUUGGAAUCGAACCAUACCAUCCUUCGCAUGCGUUAACAUACGGAACCUGCGCACGUAUAAUAGACGUGGGCGAAACAACCGUGAUGAUAGGCUCGUUGGAAUCGAAUUCCCAUCACCCUUCGCAUACUCGCGAUGCGGAUUCAGCACACGUAUGAUAGACGUGGCAAAAAGUGCUGGAAGUUAGAAGAUAACCAAUAACUAUUAGCCACCUUAAAAACAACCCCAAAAUCCCCUAGGGCUCCUCGAACUAAACUCAUCCUUAGCGAACUUACGAACUUCUCGACUUACUUCUUGCAAAUUUUAUUCAGAAAAAGAGUGUUAAGGUUUGUUGUUCUCCGUACCGUGCUUCGAGCUCUGAUGCCAGCUGUGGCGGAACCGCCCAAAUUAACCUGACUAAAAUGCAUUGAAGUCGCCUGACACGCGAUUAUGCACUUUAAGCAAGUCAACUUGGUCGACCGUCAGAUUUCAUCCGAUUAACCACAUAAACAGGAUCGAGAAGCAUCGCUCACGUGAAGGUGAGUAGCACAGAGGUUACAACAUUCCAUCACGACAACAAGUUCCACAUUUUAUUACAUCAGAGUUUUCGAAAUUCAGACCGAAAUUUGCAUGGGUCGAAGUCGAAGGAAAACAGCGGAAACUAAACGUCGAUACAUGACAUCACGACGGAGCAGAUCAUGACAUCAAAAAUUCCUUCCUUCGCCGUCCGAGGAAGGAUUCCACUCGACGGUCCAGCCUAGGGGAAGCUGGGUCGGCCAAGUGGUACCCGCAACCAAACUAUUGACAUUACCUGAAAAAGAUUAGCCACAACAAGGCUGAGCAACUAGUACUCAGCAAGACUGACCCAUCGGAAAGACACGACCGAGACCAAGACAUGCAAGGCCUUCUGGCUCUGGGGUUUCUUUGCCAAAGCGUCUAAAGUCAGUCCUUACUUUCAACAUUUUAGCUCAUGUUCUACGUUAUUUAACCAGUCUAGAUUAGCAACUUAUACUAAACAAGCAUGAUUUCCAAGCAAUUGCUUAACAAGCAUCAAGAUUAAUAUCAUCAUCAUGUUCCAUCUUUACUCAGUGCAGAAUAGCGAUCAAGUAGUCCCAAACUGUGAGAGACAGACGAAUCGAUUCGAGUUUAUUAACCAUGCAUGGUAAACCUAAUCUCACGACAUCCGCGCACCACGAAGGGUCGCUUCAUUUGUCAGCCGUCCCCAUCGAUCCCUUAGGCACGUGUCAGGGCCAACUGCCUUUGGCAUGCAAUGCUCCAUAAUCCCGGCCUCUGCCGUACUAUGACCGCACUUGAACCCACAUGAUGCACCAUGGGAACGACGUUCCAAGGACAGCCGGAGGGUAUGCCACGCCCCAGUUCAAUCAGGUACUAGGCUUCCCCAUCCCAUACUAGGUAUGAGAUUAGUACUUUCAAACAUUUGAUCACGAACGCCGACACGUUUCGACCUUAGUCCAUUUUCAUUUAGACAGACGGGGCAAUCCACCAAGUACCGAACAUAAGCCUGACACCGUCCGUUAUUCUUAUAGUUGCGACAUAACUGAACAUUCAACUCCUAUAACUCGUGAGUGAUAGGAAAUCACUAGACUUUUACCGAAACCUAUUAAGCAUUGCACUACUCGACCUUAGCAACUAGUAUUCAGACAAGGUACUAAGUUUAUGCAUCUAAGGUCUCAUUACAACUCCUGGAAACGUAAAUGCGCAAUCAAGUAAUCAGUAAGUGGCAUGAAAGUAAAACAGGGAGUUCAUGCACCGGGGCUUGCCUUCAGGAAAAGCUUGUGGGUCCUCGGGGUCUUGCUCUGGUUCGGGCUCUCCUUCGAAGGGGUGCAGCUCCUCGGUGGGGUCUUCUUCCGGUGCCGGGUGAAGCUCGUACGUCCCGUCGUCGAGAUUCAACUCUACACGGAAAUGCAAUGCAGGGGUUAAACAUUUUAGAUGGUUAUUUCAACACACUCAUGUUUUAACUCAGAUACUUGUAGCAAAGCUACAGGAAAGGUGAGGAGUCCAACUUCAGUUGGUGGAGAACAGGACGAGAGGGUCGGAUUGGGAGAAACUUAGGGUCUGACCCUCAGAUUUAAGGAAAAACCGUACCGAGGUCCUCAGACUCAACACAGAGAAAUCCCCAAAAAAAUUUCACCAAUACCCUCGGGUCAAAGAAAAAGAUGCAGCCGAGCCCUCGGGCGAGGCGGAGAAAGGGUCGGCGAAACUUGGCAGGGUCAGGCGAGACGGAAGGAAAAAGGGGUCGGGCGAACCGAACGAGAAGGGGUCGGAUGAACCGAACAGAGAGGGGUCGGACGAACCGAACGAAAAGGGGUCGGUUGAGACGAAACAAAAGGUCGGUAGCUUACCUCCAGGUCUACCGAUGAAGCCUUGGGGUCAAACAGGAGUAGGCUGGGGCGCGAAGUCGUACGCGCUAAGGCUUGGGCAGCGGCGAGACUUCGACGGUGGUCCGGCGGCGGCGGUGCUUCGACCGUGCUCCGGCGGCGGUGGUGCUUCUUGCGGACACCAGCAAGCUCGAGUACCGCGCGGAGGAGCGGGCGGCUGGUGGGUUGGAAGAAGCGACUAGAGCGGAGAGGGGAACUUUCUCAAGAGUGUGGCGGCGAGUCAUCGGAGUGUGGGGUGGCGCAAAGGGGUGAGCACCACGGAAGCUCAGCGACGGCGCAGAGGAGAAAGCGGUGGCGCAGAGGAGAAAGCGGUGGUGCAGGUGCGGGCGGUGGCAAGGGGUGGCAUUGCCGGUGAGGGGGUUCCUUUUAUAGGGCCGGGGUGGCGCGGAGGGUCGAGGCGGGGCUCCGUUGGGGAAAAGAUAAGGCCGGGAGCGGCGAGUGCGCAGGCAAGGCGGCCAUUGGCCGGCGACACCAUUGGGCACAGGAGGCGGAGCUCCAGGUGGUCUUCGGCGGCGAUUGGCCUUGGGCGGCGCGCGUCUGGGGCUUCCGGUCUGUCGGGCUGGCGAGGCGGAGGGCUACCGUGGGGGUUGGGCGAGCAGGCGGAGGCGCGGGAUGCCAUGGUCGUGGCAGCUUUCCCGGCGGAUGGGCGGAACGGGGUUGGCGGAGCGGAGCCGUGGCAGGCGGAAGGCGACCUGCGCGCGGCCGGCAGUUGGCUAGCCUUGCGCUCGCUCCGUCCUGUCGCGGGCGUGGGUUGGGCGCCGUGGCUCAUGUCUUGUCGCUGUCGCGCUGGUGAUAGGGCGCCGGCGAGCUGCCGGUGGCCGGCGGCCACGCGGCGCAUGGCGCGCGAGCAAACAUGCUCGGGCGCGCGGGCGUCGAGGCUCCCUUCGUGCAGCAAGCCCGACCAGCUUUGGAGCGAUCCUUCUCCGAAUCUUUCAACACAACUCCCGAAACUCCCUUAAACAAACUUGCUCAACUCUGAUCAUUCUUCAAACUUUGUUUAAGGUGUUGGUUUAGAUUGUGAAAGGAUUCAAAGAUAUUUCCGGCCAAAGUUAGCCAAAAAUCUGGAAUUCCAGACUUAGGAUUUUUUUAAGGCACCAGGGGUGAGUUGACUGGUUCACCUCCCUUUGACCGGGGUUUUGAACAAGUUCGGGUCCGAUUUGGAUCUGGGUCAGUGUAACAAAGUUGGAAGACACUUGAGGUACUACAACUUUCAUUAAGUCUCUGACUCGAGUUUAGAUAGGGAAAACGGGAGAUGAAAGCUUGCAAGAUGAAGGAAAACUUGAAUUCCAGGACUUAAGAGAUUUUCAGGAUCCUUUAGAAAACCCGGCUUUGGUUGCUGUUUUAGACUUCCUUCCACUCCGAAUUAGUCAAAGUGCCUUUAACAAAAGUUGUUGGAAUUAAAAAGUUUCACAACUCUUAUUUGGGCAGAAACUUAAGUUUGUAUGUAAAAUUUCAAGCUUUAAUUCAAACUCCAAAAAGAGCUUCUUAGGUUUAUAAAGGUCAUUUGACUUCUUAACUUAGGGAUUUGAUUUAUCACUGGUUUAUAGUUAAAAGUACUUAAUUUCAGGUAGAGUUGUUACACGAACCUCCUUCUUGACAUACGUUGCUGCUCGGCGGAGAACAUCCUCACAGAGAUGAACACGGUAUGCAAGUUCAACAAGUAUGGAUUUGAAAAACCUUAUUGAAUUUGAUAAGAUAAACCGUCUAGACAAGGUAGCAUCAUUCUUAAACCACUGUAAUAAUACAUACUAUAUAUGACACAUCAAUGAGUCCCUCACAUUCUCGCUCAAAAUACCUCUCCAUUUUCUACUUCAUCACAUUCUAGCAAUUAAUCUUUCCAUCUCCAAAGCAUAAAUCAAAGCAUAACAUGAGGAUGAAGUAGCAAACCUUCACAACACUUGUGUUGGCUGAGUGAAAUUCCCACGAAAAUGAGGGAAAAAACUUCGGGCAGCACCUCCCUUGCUUCGGCACCACCGGAGAGUAGGUGAAGCUCAGCUCUCUGUCUAUGUGGUGGACUGGCUCGGGCUGGAGGAGGAAGAAAGGCCUCUAUCUUGGUAUAUAAUGGGGAUGAGUUUUUAUCCCGGUUAAAAACUCCAACCGAGACAAAAAGGAACACCUUUUGUCCCGGUUGAAAGUUUAGUCCCGGUUGGAGCCUCCCGGUUGGAAGCUGCAACCGGGACUAAACUUUUUGUCCCGGGUAGAGGCUUCAACCAGGACAAAAGGUCCACCCUUUUAUCCCGGUUGGAGCCUCCAACCAGGACAAAAGGGUCCCACCACCGACACCCCGGAACUAGCCGUUGCAACCGGGACUAAAGGGGGGGCCUUUAGUCCCGGUUGCAAAUACCAACCGGGACUAACUCUCCCCUCCAUUUUUGCCUAGCGUGGCGCACCCUCUUUUAUCCCGGACCAACUUUAAACCAGGAUAAAAGGGGACGCAUCGAAAGUCAAUUCUCUACUAGUGUAUGUACACUAAUUUGUAAAAUUAUCACUUUACCAUUGUCAUAUCUUUAGUUAUCCUUAGUUUUAUUUCUAAGCAAACACAUAAGGAACUAGAUAGAGUUGUUCAGUGCUGGAUCCAACAGCUCGGUCGAACCAAGAAAUGUCUAUGGCAGCUAGAAGAGUUAGUUUUCACGGGACAUGCUUUCCUCAAAAGUGGCAAGCCAAGAAGGGAUACAUGAGGUCAGAUGUGCUGAUAAAUGUUAUCCGGGGUCUGAAGAUAGAUGGAAGACUUCAUUCAAAGAGUAUGAGCCUCCCGAAAUAUUAUGCGUUCGUGGUGCCGCUCUCCACUAACAAUAAUGACUAUAAGCCCUUCACCAAGCUAAGGAGCUAAUUGACCUCCUUGUUGUGUUCAACACGUCCUUAUACUACAAGAGAAAGAAGAAGUACGCCUUCGGUGCACGCGUAGCUAACUGACAAAGAUAGAAAAAGUUCAAAAAGAACAAAUCAAUAUGGAGGCUCAGCUUACUCUAUUUCAGGCAUGUUCUAGGUCAGGGCAAGCUUUUCUCGAAUGAAAAACCCUAAGCUGAGGAUGACCCUUUUCUCCCUAUACAUGGUGAGGUGCAAAGACUCCAAUGGGUUGGGGACUCUGAUAUCUUGUUAUAUUAGGAGCUUAGUCAAGGUAAACCAUCGAAAGACUCUUAACCAGCAACAAAUGGAUGAGCACACCUCCAAAAUGUGGGAGCGGUACGGUAUGGCAGCAUGGCACGUACUAUGGAUGACAACUGUGAUGGGUGCUUCCCUAGCAGCCCAUAAUUAUGAAAUAUAGGGUGACAUUUGCUGGUCGUGAGACAUGGUCAUAAGGUUUUAGGUAGAAGGAGGAACACCCUCGAUUAGUAGUUACAUCCAUUGUAAAUAUUCACCAGUUAGAAAUGUGCAUUGUCUCACCAGUUAGAAAUGUGCAUUGUCUCUUCUACUCCUAAUAGUAUACGAAUACACUCUUGGGCUUCUAUGAUGGACUUCCUGAUAUUUUCACUCCACAGUUGCGCAUCACUUCUGCUCUGUUUAGUUCUUCUACAAGCUUGAGUCUCCCCUUGCACUGUGGGCCUCAACUAUCUCGGCACCAUCUUGCUACGGUGGUAUGCGCUAGCCUCCUUUUAUUAGAUAAAGAAGUAAAAUUAUUCAUUCUGCAAUAGUAAGCAUGGAUGCAUAAAUCCAUUCUAUUAUAACAAUGUUAACCAUAAUAGUGAACACACAAUGAUACAUUUUGUCCUCUAAACACCAAUGCAUCGGAGAGAGUUCCACCUACGCACAUCCUAUCACCGAACCUUAUUUAUUAGCAAUGACAUCUAGCAUCGUGUCUCUGAGCAUUUGCACACCAUUUUUCAUAUGGUAGCUCUCCUCUUUUUAUGCACUAGUGAUAAAAAAAGAGUAAACUGCAUAGCCAGUCCUUAAACCAAUCCGACCAUGUCACUUAGGUCCAUGUAUUCUCAAAUGGCAGAUCUACCUCUUUUUUAUGAUCAAUUUAAUAGGAUCAAAUAUUGAACUUUCAAGGAAGCCAUUACUUUCAUUGCCUCCUUUUUUGAUCAAUUUAAUUGGCUCCUUUAGCUUCUCCCGAUAUUUCAUUUGGUAAUUCACAGUAUUCAUAAGCCCUUAUUCUAGUUUGGCAAGGGCUACUACACGCUAUUCAAGUUUGAACAAUCUUCCAAGAAUAGAACACAAUUGCCAUGCACACUUAGCAAGCUAAUUCAUUGCCUCCAAAGUGAAAAAAUCAUGAUGCUUGCUGGACUAGGUGCCUUACCCAUACAUCGUUAUGGGAAUUCAAAAAAAAGUUAAUGAUGAUAUAGGAUAAAUGAGAAAAUUUCUAGGAAAAAUAAGUAUAGAAACAUAAAUACACAUCAUCAAAUAUUAGAGGGAACGACCGAAGUUACACCAUAGAGCCAAAUUGACACGUAAGCCUUAACAAAAAAAUUAUAAAUGCUUGAGUAACAACUGUAAGGUUUGAGGAAGAAUUGUAUGUAAUCCUGAAGCAUGCAUAUCAAAAUGAUCCCAUGCAGUAACUUCUAAUGAAAACUAAAAUAUUCAUGGCAAUUCAAAAUGUGCGAAUCGACAAUAUUGCUUCAUAAUCUAAGAAUAUAAGUUGCUUUUGAAUUCCUUUAUCUUCAUUAUCAAGAACACAAGCAUUGAAAAGAUGCAUGUAUUGUGAGUAAAAUCAGCAAAAAUCAAAAGCACUCUCUACUGAUAACAAGAUGAGCAUGACGUGCAUGGCAAUAACUGUGCCAUUCAUUUGAGCACAACACAUGCAUGGCAACGACGACGACAUGCUUGAUUGAAGCAUAACCAGGGAUGUGAAGAGGUACUUGAAGCUGCACGUACAGAACUCCGGAUAGAAUCAAAGCUGAAAAAAGAGAAUGCCGAGAUGGAGUGAGAGACAUGCAAAUAGAUGUGAUGGUUGUUUGAGAUGGCACUUAGUGUUUCUUGAUCGUUCUGAGGGGCACGGCAUUCCUGAGCUCAGAUGGAUUUUAUUAGCUUCCAGCAUAGGAGGAAGGUGGAGGGAAUAGGGAACGCCAAGAGUGGAUGGUCCUUAGUUACAGAAGGGAGGGAGACUACCACUUGAAAACGUCAACGUAAUUGAUCGUAGUUUUUUUUUAUACUCAGAAUAUAUUGCAAAUCAUAAACAGCUUACAGAGUGGAGGCUGAAUUGGCCCCAGAAAACAUUGACAAGCGCAUGACGCACAGGGCAAUGUGUUACAUGGUUUUCAUUCGAACAAGUGAACUGACAGGAAUUUGGAGUCAUACUUCUCAAGAUUCUUUAGCUAGUCUAUGAGCAGUCAAGUUUUGCUGUCUUGGAACUUUGUUGCAGCUAUAUUCAAUGUUUAUGUUGUUGUCGAUGAAGACUGAUAUGCGUGGCCUGAUUCUCCAAUCUGAUGGCUGUAUUAUGGGAUCUUCAGCCUGAAUAUUAUUGGCGAGUAUCUGACAGUCUGUACUGUACAGGAUUUGAUUUAGAUCAAGGUUCUGAACCACCUCUGGGGAGGGUACGAGCAAACCCACUCUUGUUCACACCUAAAUCCAAAUAAUUAUUAUCCACUCCUUACCUUCCCCAAUUCCACCCAUAUCCAAUGGAUAAUUAACUUUGUGGUACAUAUAAUAUACAUAUCCAAUGGAUAAAUUAUAUCCUUCCCAAAACCUACACUCCCUACACUCCCUAUUUCUAAUGGUUAUAUAAUUUUCUACCCAUACCCUUCCAAUUUGAAGUGGGUAUGGAUUUGGGAAGAACGUAUGGAUAUCCAGUGGCAGGUAUACCUUGGAGGCCAGUUGUAUGGCCGAUGCUUCUGCAUGCAGUGGGUCUUCCGCUUGAUGAUGAAUCACGUGAAUAAGAAUCUCCUUCCCCAUCGUGUGUGUUGUCCCGUACGCAUGGAAUUUGUUCAGACUAAUAUUUUUAAAAGAUAUUGUAUUUAAAAAUUAUUAAGAAAUUAAGCUUCUACCUAAAAAUCAAAAUUGUUUACCUACUAUUUUCUCAUUUUUUUCAAUACUUCAACAUAAUACUCAUACAGAUAUGUACUUAUCUUUGUCUAGUUGUGAUUAAUUAUUAAUUAGUCUUUACUCGUUCACUUUUUUAUCCACGUUCACACUUUUUCAUUUUGUAUCGCACCUCCAUACAUUGUCCAUUGUGUUUAGAAUAGAAAUCACUUUUUUUCAUCACUUCCUCAUAUACAUAUAUAAAUGGUCUACAUGGUGACACUCAUCAUGUGUAUAUACCUUAACUUAGUAUUUGUAUAUUGACAAUGACAUAUACAGGUAAUUUAGAAUCAUAUAUUAGUUUAUUUUUGGACAUUCUGAAUGAUCCACAUAAAGAUAAUUAGAUUAAGAUUUAGGUGUUCACUUUAGGUUAUUUUUAAUAAUAACAUACAUGGGUAACUUAGAUACAAAUUUAGAAUAACAUUUUAAGUUAUUCUUUAUAAUGAUAUGCAUGAGUAAAUUGGUUAAAGAUUAUGGUUUACAUUAUAUUAUGUUUUAUAAUGGUAGAGCUCAAUAAUUUGGAUAUAGGUUUAGGAUUUAUUUUAGAAUAUUAUCAUAAUAAUAGUGGUGGGUAACUUUUUAGAAAAUAUAAUAGACCAAUAAAUAUGAUUAUUAGAAUUUACAGGAUUGAUAUUUGAUGUUUCUGAUUUUGGUGAGAAUUUCUAGAAUUUCUCUUUUUUUUCUAGCAUGUUUCGUGAGAACUAAUCGAAGUCUCCAAUGGAAACAAAUAGUGCAACAUUACUACAAAACUAUUACCUUGAGUUACCACUCAUUUGUUAAAUAUUUGAACACAAUAUAUACUUAUUACCUACAUCUGAUUGUGAUAUAUAUUUUAGUUAUUAAUUACUCUUUAACAUUUUCAUCCAGAUUUAUAAUGUUUAACUUUUCACUUUGCAUCGCAAGCUUGAAUUUGUGUAAUGGAUCCUAUGCUUGAGCUAUAAUUUUAACAUAGAAAUCUAUUUUCUCAUCACUUUCUCUAUAUCUUUAUAAAUGGUGACACACAUCAUGUGUAUAUACCUUAACUAUUAUAUCAUACACUAAUAGUGUAAGAAAUAGAUGGUUUAGAAUCACAUAUAGUGUAUAUUUUUAAUUAAGGUGAUUUGGAUUCAAAGUUAGGGAUACCUUAUGUCCUCAUGUUACUUUUAAUAAUGGCAUAUGUGGGUAAUAUAGAAGCAAAUUUAAAGGAUUAUUUUAAAUUAUUUUUAAGUAUUAGUAGUGGGCAAUUUAGUUGCAAAUAUAGGGGUUAUUUUAAAUUAUUUUUAUAAUAGAAUGAGUGGGUAAUUUUGAUGAAGAUUAGGGGUUACUUUAGUUUAUUUCAUAUAAUGGCAGAGGUGGGUAAUUUAGAUAUAGAUUUAGGAGGUUACUUUAGGCUAUUUCAUAAUGGCAUAGGUGGGUAAUUUUUUAGAAAAUAUAAUAGAUCCUAUGGUUAUGAUGGUUUAAAUACACUGAUUGAUGGCCAGAUAUUUUGCUUUUUGUGAGAAUUUCUAAGAUUUCUUUCUUUUUCUAGAGUAUCCACUUAUGAUCCUAAGUGGCUUCACCUAGAGCCUGAAUUUGUCAGUAAAGUAAUAAUAUUAAAAACUAGAUCAUCUAACCCCAUUAAAACAUAAAAUUGGAUUUUCGGGGAAAUUUAAAAAAAAAGGAGUCUCCAAUUAGUAAUAGUAAGAUGGAGAGCUUGAGCUUGGUGGAAGCAAGCAUUGUGCAGUCUCUUGGGUGGACUCUCCCUUUGGAUUGUAUAGAAAUAUGGUUUGGACGCUAGGGAUGAAGAAUGGAAUGAGAGAAAUAGGGAGUCUGAAAGGCUGUGCAUUCUUUUGGUUUUUGAACAUAGAGUAGGCAAUAGUGCAUUCACACCGGGAGGAAUAACAUUAUAGAAGGGAGGAGUUUGAGAGAAAGGAUGACCAUACAAUUUCUAAGUAAACACAACAAGAAGGAUACGGUUAUAUGGUGAUAUUUAGAUUUAUUGAAAGGUGAAAAUGUGAUCGAGUGGCUUGUUAAUUGAUGCAACACAACUUUAACGUGAUCACUAUGGUGGCCUAAUCCUUUUGAUUAAGGUUGGGAGGUCGGAGAAUGAUAAAAAAAAUGGAUGGAUAGAUGAUGUCGAUACCUUGUGAUUGAGCGGUACUACUAUUUGAUGAUGUGACACAUCAUGAGAGCACAGAAAUAGCCAUCAAUGACUCUUAGUGGGUUGUAUUUGUAUAGAAUAUUUAGAUGUUAUACUUUAGCUUUUGUCGAUCCAUAUUGGCCCAUCCUAUAAACAUACGCGCUUUAAGACUCCGAAUGAAUCUAGUAAAAUUAUAACCAAAGGAAUGGUGCCAGUCUCUUUAGCACGUUUCUUGUGAAACUUCGUAAAUAUAUCUAUUCAUGACUUAGGAUGAUUGAAAUGGUGUAAACCUUAGAGACGUGCUAGGUUUAGAGGAGAGAUGAAAUAGUUUGAUCUACGGAAAUCCAAUGCCAUAUGCUGUUAGUCGAGAGGACGGUUGGUUGCUACUGUACUAUCUAUGUAGGAGCGGCAGGGGAAAAGUGCCCAUGCUAAUCGACUGGUUCAAAGCCUAGUGUGGGAAACGGCCCAUCGCUCUAGUCGGGCUUCGCUCCUAUGAGAACUAUUAUUCUUCUAAUUUUUAUUCUGCGAAGUAGAUAUUAUUUAAUUUAACGGUACUAAUAUAUCUCCGAUUGUCGAAGUAAGAGUGGCAGACUAUUUGUUUCUGCUUAUCUGGAGCUCACUGGGAAUCAGGAUUGUCUAGUAAACCAAUUGCCUGGGGAAUCUACUGUCUGAAUAAUGUCUGAAUAAGUUAGGUGUAACACUUCUGAUUUUUUUUCCGUCGAUUCUCUGCCCCUGAGUAGUGAAAUGCCUGAAGUACCCUAAGGAUGAUGAUCACUCAUUUUUUUCUUUUCCGUUUUCUUUUUCUCAUUUUUCCUCCCUUCUUUUUUCUUUACUUCUAUUUCCUUUGCGUCCGAUCGCCAUUUUCUUUUUUUCCUCCAUUUCUCGGUCUUCGUUCCCUUUCUUAUCCGUUUCUCCUCUCUUCUGUUGCUCCACGCCACGCCGACGCCCAUCCAGCCCCUGGUCAUACGCUGCUGCUGCGGUGCUGCCCCGCCUCACCACUAGCCAAGCUGCUACUGUUGCUCCGUCGACCUCAGCGCCGAAGGUUUCCACCCGUCGGACCCGCUGCUGCGAGCUCACGCGGGGCAAGCGGCAUGCCCCGGCCGUUCGUGCUCCCUGUCAGCUGUGGCGACGACUCGCUCCCGGAGGCGGACAUGGAUGGGUGGGAGGUGGAUGCUGGAAGGAACGGAGGCCGCCGCCGGAGGGCAGGGAGGUGGCGAGUGCCGGCGACCUGGGAGGCGGCGGGUGCGGAGGGCAGCAGGCGUCGGUGGUGGAGGCCUGGAGGGGUAUCGAGGGAAAAUUGACUCGCUUAAUGGGUAAGCGAGGCUGAGGCCGCGUACUGAAAAAUAGGGUUGCCCAUUGUUUUGUGGAUUGUGUGCUAAGCGGCUUUUCUGGUAAUUGAGAAAUAAUCGAGAUGUUUGUGUGGAAUUUUCACUUAUUUCGGCUGGUAAUCGAGGAAUAAGCGAAUACAAACGGGACCGUAGAUCAUCCCGUUGCAGUUCUAAUCAUGUUCCAGUAAUAUUGAUUCAAUGCUAUGUAGUUUCAAAAUAUAUGCUGUAAUAUUGAUUCUUUAACGGACGAGAUUCCAUAAUUUUUCUUGUCUGUCCAACGGAGGUAGUAGCAACGAACCUGGUCAGGUCGCGUAUCGUGACGCGAACAAGGAGCGGUGUCGCUGUCCGCUCUGCGCAACGUUGCAUUCGUCUCGACCAGCGCCGAUCCCCUUUUUUAAAACAUGGAGCCGUGCCGUGCCGUUCCGGCCGGGGGUCGCUGCAGCUGCGCCCGUCACGUGGCAUCGCACGCUUAGGUCCGAACGUCUCCGUCGACCCGCCCCGCUCCGGCGGUCCGGCCGCUACGGGCGGCUGCCGAGCGCCGAACCCGGCCGCUUACCUUGACACCCUCUCGCUGACACCGGCGCCCCGCACCCGCUUGCACAGAUACAGGAGCCGGUGCAACCGAAACGGCACGGAGAAUGGGGUGGUUGGUGGCUCGUCGCCGUCGCGCUCGGUAAAUAGUGGUGGAGUGGAGUAUCCUACGUUUCCUACAGCGCUGCUGCCGUAUCCGUCGCGCAGAAGCAACCAGCCCAUUUCGAUACGCGCGAGGGAACAACGGGAAUUUGACAGGAGACAACAAGGGAACAUCCCAAUCGCGAGCGAUGCAGCCGGCCGCGAGAAGUUGGUCGUCGCCGCCGGCGGCAACGGAGGCCAGCCCUUACGCGAUGCCUUCGCCUGUACAGCCGGCGUCGUCCAACGGUGCGUGCGCAGAAGUUGCCGAUCAAUUUGGGUUCUCGGUUCUUUGCAGUCCGGCGCUUCUUACACAGUUUUGCUGUUCCGCGCUCAGGCACCAAGGAGGCGGUGAAGAAUGCGCUGUCGCGGUGGGGGCGGAAGGUCGGGGAGGCGACCAGGAAGGCCGAGGAUCUGUCGCGCAACACUUGGCAGCACUGUGGGUGAUUCUUCGUUACCUCGCUAAUCAUCGCCGCUUUUUGUCUAGCUUAAUCAUCAUCAGAUUAGUACUGGUAGUCAAAGCUUACUUCAAUUCCAAGUGGUUUCUUUGGCCAGUGAGGACGGCGCCAAGCAUCGGGGAGGCGGCCGUGGCGAGGAUCGCGCAGGGGACCAAGGUGCUGGCGGAAGGCGGCCACGACAAGAUAUUCCGGCGGGCCUUCAGCGCCCCGCCGGACGAGCAGCUCCGCAAGUCCUACGCCUGCUACCUCUCCACGGCCGCCGGCCCGGUGAUGGGCAUCCUCUACCUCUCCACGGCCAGGGUCGCCUUCUGCAGCGACAGCCCCCUGUCCUACGACGCCGGCGGCGGUGACAGGACGGAAUGGAGCUACUACAAGGUAUCGAGUAUCGACUAUCGAGCACGCAGUCGCGUUCUGCACUGGCCUCUGUAGUCCUUCAACGUUUUCUUUUGCUAAGACGGCAAACGCGUGCGUGCAGGUGGCGAUUCCUCUGCACCGGCUGAGGGCGGCCAGCGCGUCGGCGAGCGAGCUCAAGCCCGCAGAGAAGUUCAUCCAGCUGGUGUCGGCGGACAAGCACGAGUUCUGGUUCAUGGGGUUCGUCAACUACGACGGCGCGGUAGCGCACCUCCAGGAAGCGCUGAGCGGCUUCCAUAACUUGCAGGCCCUUUGAUAUCAGGAGAUCGACGGCGUUGUGUUCGUGCUCGCCAGGUACAUGGAGUGGCCCUGUUCCCGCUCUUUCGCUGCCGGCAGUAGUGUUUGCAGCAUACUCUACAUGUUAUUUAGCUGUGCUUACAGUGUACUACCCGUCCGUUCGUCCGGUCGUCCGGAUUUCAUGCGCAAAAUACGAACCGUUCUAUUUUAGAGAAGACCAUGAUUAUUCAUGAAGAUGACUCUGAUUAUCAGUUUAUCACGGACCAGAUGAGCCUCUCUCUGGCCUUGACGUUUCCUGCCUGAUGAAGCGAUCGUGUCGUGCAACAUGAGUUACACUGUGGGAGCUUGUUUUCAAAAGAAAAUAGUGUGCCAAAUGCGGGAGAUAUAUUUAAGCUUGCACUUUUGUUUUGAUCGUUGAAUGCGAGUCGUGGGCCAAAUCGCUUCCUAGCAGAACUGAGCUACUGAUAUCCGAUUUUACACAUGAGGAUUAAACUCGGACUACGGCAAUAUAUGAGGGACCUCGAGGACUUUUUCCUUAUUGUUAAGUCUAGAUGCUUUUGGGCUACAUUACAAAAUUACUUGUGGCCCAACAAUUAUACGCCCCGGGGGAGGGAGAUUGGUCCGUCCAGUCUUCCUUCCUUCGUGGUCUGGGCCGAAUCUCCACCUAUACCUACAAACACCGCCACCGGCCCACCGCACAUACGUGGAAAAGAAUGCUGCCCGUCGGGGAAAAAGAGAGAAGAAAGAAUCGACGAGAUGAGAUCCCAUCAUAAAAUGAGCAAUCCAAGAAAACUGAGAGCUUGAAUACAAUCGUUAAAAAGUUAAGAAAACCCAACUAUCACAAGAGCAAACCAUUGUUCCCGAAUCUCUAUGGAGCCACAUUAGCAGACCAAAAUGGUUACUCCAACCGUACUAGCUCACCCGAGUCCUCAUCUCGAUGGAGCAACAUUAGCAGACCAAAAUGGUCACUCCAACCGUGCUGGCUCACCCGAGAGCCCUCAGCGCUCACGCCGUCAAGAUGCAAAAUUCUUGUACUCGUUUUUGCGGCUGCGACCACUACUUAGUACUGGUACGUACCGGAGCAGCAGGCGGACCACGAAUCCGCGCCAAUCAUGCCCGCACGAAAAGCCCUGCCCUGCCACGCAGGCACGGCCGGUCCACGCCCGAUCCGGGCGCCACAAGCAAAGGCAAGCGGCAGACAGCGCGGUAGCUCCAGCGACAAGCAACCAGCCGGCAACCCGACGCCGGGCGCGGCAAAGCGGCGCGACGCAAAGCCGCGUCGCAAGGCCGCGCUGCCGGCCGCAUGUGACGCCUGCCCUGCCAGCCUCUCCCCUCACCGGCGACCCACGCAUCCAGACGGGAACCUCCAGGGCGACGCCUCGUUUUGUCCCUUUCACGCGCGCCUUUCCGCGACCCCCGCCGAUACGUCCCGAUCAGAACGUCGGAUCAUACGUACCCGCGGCAACCGGCCUGGUUCCAUCUCUCGGCACGGCGCCCAGUCGCCCACCGUCCCUGCCUGGCCGGCGGCGCUUUCCCCUUUGGGAGGGAGGGGAUGGGUGGGCGCGCCGGCGGCCCGGUCCAGCCCCCGUGCGUGCUCGCAUGUGUGGGUGCCGGCCGGCCGGCCGCGAUCCUCCUGGCUUUGGCGCGCGCGGUGGGGCGCGCCGUGCUUUUCCCCGUCCCGGCCGACGACGGAUCGUAAUCAUGAGAGGCCGCGACCCGGGCACGGAAAAGAUGGAUUCUCUGGCCUCCUGCCACCGACAGAUCUUACCGACUACGGUCAAUCGGCCCGGUCAAGCGCCUGAGGGAUUGGGUAGUUGACGCACGAACAGCUAGUUGAUGAUACAGUGUACCGACCUUGAUAGCUACGUUACGUGGUGCCUCAGUGCCUGGCUGCAUCCGUUUGGUUUAUCGCCUUGUUUCAGAAUGCAGAUUUCGCAACCAAACUCCAUAUGCGAUCCGAGCCCGUCUACGCAUGUUGUUGCAAAGUGCCAUGUCAACAAUGGACGGACGACUAGUCGUGCGGUAGCAGGGCAUGAUCGUCGGCAGGGCACGCCCUCGCAACGCGACACCUCGCGCGCCAGGGAGCGUGUGCUAAAGCUGCCGGCGUCUUUGCCAAAAAUCCCUACUGGCCUUUUUCGAGCCUCGCCUAGUGCUCCGAUCAGAACUCAUCAGGGAGAAGCUUGCAAAGACGGGGGUAACGCAAGCUUUUACAGCCAGUGCAUAUAUGACGAGUCCAUGUCUAGCUCUAUGUAGUUAGUGUUCUCGCUUUCCGUCGCUCGCUUUACGCUGGCCAGUGGCCACUAGUUUCGCUCGAGGCAUCAAUGGGCAGCAUCCGAGCAGCAGGAUGCACGGAGGAGACGCUCAUUAUCCAAGGCACGCGCGCGCGCGCGCGCGCGCGCACGCAGCAUUUUGCCAUGUCUGGCAGCGUCGCCUCUGCUCUCACUUUUGCACUCCUUCGACCAAAAGAACAAAAGGAAGAAGACCGUGCCCAUGCAUGCACGCAUACAUACAGUCUUUUGCACUGGCAGUGUUUCCUCUCAGCUCUGCACUUGUCGCCUCCAAAGGACAUAGCCAGUAGUAGUAGCGCUGUACCGGGCGCGUUGCUCACUUUAUCUGUGUUUUACAUCGGCGACCAAUAAUCACGGCCCUUCCUCUAAGUUCAUGGCUUCAAUGAACAACCCCCUAAAAACCCAAAUCUCUAACCUCUAAUGUCAUCGGACACUGCCAGUGCCCAGUGCCAGAGCUGAGGAAGAUGACCCGAGAGCAUGAGUGGUGGUGUAAUUGGACGCCUGAAAAUUCGGAUAUUGAAGAGCAUCCAAACAUUGAAGUUGUUAAUUAGCUUUCCCCUUAAGAAAAAAAAUUACUGGUCAAUAACGUAGCGAUCUAAGUUUGUCAGUGUCAGAGAGGCGGCGUGACGUGGGUCCUGCGGCGGCACAGCGUCUUUGACCGGAUCCAUAAUCCUGUCGCGUCUCAUCGAUCAGUGUCAAGCAUGCACAAGCAGCAUACGACGGCGUAACAGUGGCGGCUAAUAGCCUCGUGCGCUAAAGCGUGUUUGGUUCCACGAAUGUAUUAGUGUUUGGAUCCCUGACCUAAGUUUAGUCCAUGUCACAUCGAAUCUUUGAAGACUAAUUAGGCGGACUAAACAUGAGUUAAUUAUAAAACUAAUUACACAAAUGGAGGCUACUUCGCGAGACGAAUCUAUUAAACCUAAUUAAUUCAUGACAUAUUUACUGUAGCAUCACAUUAUCAAAUCAUGGACUAAUUAGACUUAAUAGAUUCGUCUCGUGAAUUAGCCUCCAUAUGUGCAAUUGGUUUUGUAAUUAGUUUAUAUUUAAUACUCCUAACUAGUAUCUAAAUAUUUGAUGUGACAGGAACUACUUUAGCCCUGGGAACCAAACGAGGCCUAAUUCAUGAUUAACGCAUAAUUACUGUAGCGUCACAUUAUCAAAUCAUGGACUAAUUAGAUUUAAUAGAUUCGUCUCGCGGAUUAGUACCCAUCUGUGCAAUUGAUUUUGUAAUUAGCUUGUAUUUAAUCCUUCUAAUUAGGUGAUAGGAACUUGAUCGAAUGUGAUAGGAACUUGAUCCGAGGAACCAAACAACCCUAAGUCCGUCCUUGGUCACGUCACGUCAUGGUCUUGCCCCCUCGCUGACCCUUUUUCUCUCGAUCGUUUGCGAAGAACGGUCUUGUAUUAGCCUGUGAGUUCACACAUGCUGACAUGCACACUUCUUGUCAAGGAACAGCGAGCAGUGCGGACUCCGGUGCAAGCAAUUCGUUGAGCCGCUGCCAACUCCAUGCAGACCGGGCCUACGUGUCUGAUGAUGGGACGAGCCGGGGUACGUAGCAGCUGGUGUGGUGAGCCCAUGGAGAUCUGGCUACCAGAGUGCUGCAGGCCAAACUGGCAUUGUUGCAUGCGCAGAUCUGAUCAGAGACUCGGGGCUAGGUCUGUGCGCCGACUGUUGUGUGGGAUCGAUCGGUGUUAAUUUGCCGAAGAACUGAGCAGCAGGUUCUUCUCAGGUCUGAUGCAUGAAACAUUGCUGGGAUGGGACCGUGCAUUACUCCGUGUGUUGCCGCUCCUGCAAAAAGGUCACGGUUGAAAGUGGACGCACUACUGAUGAUCCAUUAACCCCUCCAUUAAAGGUUGCUCGGCUUGUGCACUGUGGCAAGAAACUGUAUUCCCUCGCUCCGUUUCAAAAUAAAUGACAUUGUAGUUUUUUUCUAACUUAUAACUAAUUUUAUUUAAAAAUAUAUUGGUAUCUAUAAUACCAAAUAAAUACAAUAUAAACACAUAUUUCAUGGUAGAUUUAGUAAAACUAAUUGAUGUUGUAUGUACUGGUGUAUCUUUUAAUAAAACUAUUUAAAAUUAAAUGAGUUUGGCUUUAUGUUAAAACUAAAAUAUCCUAUAUUGAAAAUAAGAGAAAAGUUGAAACAAUAUCGAUAUAGACGUAGAGCCUACGACAGUUUUACACAACACAUUACACAUCUUUUGCACUUCAGUGACCUAAUGAAAAUAUUUCGUCAACCAAUGGAAAGGUGUGAAAAUAGUGUAGAUGUAAAGACACCCUUCUCCGGUGCGCUUUCUCCGUCUACAGGCUUAGAGGGGUGUUUAUAGAUGCUAGGUGCACCAUGGGGAGGAAACAUAUUGUUGGUUGGAGACGAAAAAGUGGGAAAGUCUUAUUAACACGACCAUUAGAGGCGGUUUAGCGCGACGGGGGAUCUAGCGCCGCUGGAGACACGAGUAGGAACCAUGAGUGUGAGAGACAAGCAAGUGAAACAGAAAAUAAGGGGGAGGGGAGGCGGGUGCAAGAUGUCGACGGGGACGGCAUUAGAGUGAAGUGAACGAAAUGGACUGAGAUAGAAGAAAGAACACCAGCUGCUGAAUCUCCACCUGAUGGAGAUAAUUGACCCGGUAAAGUUCCAAUUUCAGUCACCUUACAGGUAGCUACCUCUCGAUCGCUCAAGACAAAGGUCCACUUCCACAAUGUCAGAGGGCUUAACAACGAAUUUCCAAGAUACUGCAUGGCAUAAUGUUUGGACCAAACACACACUAAUUUAAAUGGCUUUCAACUUUAAACAUGUUACAUGUGAACACAUUUCGCGAUCGCUAGCUCACCGAACGCCAUGAACGUACGCGUCCAAAGCUCGACUUGUCUUCAGUUCUGACUUCUGAGGCCGUGCAUGGAGCGAGUAUGCGUAGUAGAAAAACGAAAAGCAGCGUGUCGCUGCGUUCUCUGAAGACACGAGCAGUGCCAUUUUAGUCCCCGAAACAAGGUGUUUCGAGGACCACAGCAGUUGGAUUCCAUAAAUACCAGUGUACAACGUCUAGUACACUGUACCACACACAUUACACCACUGGAGCAGCUGCUAGCAGCCUACUGAGCAUGGACCAGAUCUAGUGCAGCGGUGACCACCAUGGCCAGGACCUGGAGCCAUUUCACCCUCGGCACGGCAGCCCGGCUAGAUUAUAACUAGGACGUACGAGGGCAUGCAUGCUUUGCAUUCUCCCUGCCGGCCGGCUGCGGGCUGCGGGCUGCCUGCCUACCUGCACACGCCACCGCACGCCACCGUGGCGCCAGGUGGACACCCUGUGCGGCUGUGCCCGGGCCCCCACCUGUCAGUCCCCCGGCCAGGCGGGCAGCAGUCUCUGCGGUAGAGAACAAAACUUUGUGACCCCGUCCGUCGUCAGAUUCUCCCUGCCACCGCCCACGCCUAGCCUAUAGCUAGCCUAGCCAAGCAGGAACCUAGCCGACGCCAGGACGUGCGUACGGCCGGGCCGUCGGAGCGGAGGUGGCUUCCACCCACAGCUGGAGCGCAGAUGUGCAAGCAAGUAGAGAGCAGAAAGCGGAGCACGAUCGCAAAGGAAGGAAGACGAAGAGGGCCGGAGAGGGUGGCCGGAACGGAAGAAAGGCCGCUGCAUUUCCUGAUUUCCAACUACUUGCUGAGCGCACGCGAGCAGUGUGGCACCGGCACGCGGCGCGGCGUCCAAAAGCAAAGGAAAGGUCGCAGCCAUUAGCAAGGUCGCAGCCAUUAGCGUGUUCGGCCUCUCCUUUCCCGUCCCGGACUUCCAUAUAGCACCCGGCUGGCAUCUGGCAAGGCUGCCUCUCUCUUCUGGUACGGCGGUCGUCGUCGUCGUGUCUUCCUUUCGCGGUGGAGUGACAAAAGCAGCAGGACAGCACGAUCGAGCCUGCUGCUACUCCGGCGAAGUCGUCGUCGUCACUUAUUCAAUAAGUGAGCUGGGAGAUGCAAGUCCACGGCGAACCGCCAUGAAUGCAAAGCCGCCCAUCGGCAUUGUGCGAGAGAAUUGAAGGCUAGGAGGCGGCCCCGGGGGAGAGUAAAAGUGGAAAGUUCACCAGGAAGCGUGUAGGAGUAAAUGGUACCAGGCGCGACGGAGAUGAGCGCAGGGACACGGCUUGGCAGCCGGGGUGUGCAAUUGUGCAUGCGCUAGCAGGUGAGCAGUGAGCUCCAUGCAUGCCGUCACCGUCCAUCGUCCCUCGUGUCAGGACAACCUUAACACGGCUCGCGAAACCGGGGGAGGAGUUAAUGCGGAUGGAGCUCUAUCUCGCGCAAACAGUUGCAAGGGCAUUGAUGACCAGGCUGAAAAGAGACCAAAACGACAAGCGAAGAACACAUCAUCAUGUGUACAGUGCCAGUGCAUCUGUAUACACACAUGCAUGGAUCAAAGUAACUGAGGGAGGAACAAGGGAAGGGGCUUUACCAAGGACAGUCAAAAACUCCUCUAUAGACCAUGCCACCAUGGUAAAAAGUAAUGUAAUGCAAGUCGCAAGCAGCGCACAGGCUCCUCGUCCAUGGCCUGAGCAAGAAGAAGCUAGCAAUGGAUCGGAAAUAGUAGUACGUGGCAAGAAUUUCGGAGAGAAGACAAGGGAAAAGCAUAGAGAAUGCAACAGUGGCCUAUCUUCUUUAGGAGCGGCAGCAGCUAACAAGCAUAGGAACUAGUAUAUGAGCAAAAUUAUCUGCGAUCCCGGGGAGCAGGCCCCAACCACAAAAAAUAUAAGAGGACGCGACAUACACACACAGAAUCCAUGCAGCCCCAAUCCCCAGAUACAUUUCUCCGCCGGCAGACUGCCGGCAGCCGAUCCAUCAUCGAUCGGCUGCGAGUCGCAAGAACAAGUACAUUCCCACGAAGGAGAAGAACCAAACCGGCAAAUGGCCAUGCCGCAGGAAUUAAUAAACAACACCAACAAAGUACGGUUAAAUGACAAAUAAAAGAACCGCCUAAUAAAGCCAAGAACCAUCGAUCACUACGAGUUACUGCAACUAACCUACGCCGCCACGAAGGCCCGAAUGCUAACGAAGAAGAUGCAGCAAGUACCUACCGGAGGCUGGCCACGGCCGCCGUCGACGGAUCAGCGGCGCGCUCUGGGGGGAUGCAUGCGCAUGCGGUGGUGGGUAUCAGGUGACGCCGCUACGGCUUCUUGCCGAGGGUGUGCUUGUUGUUGUGCAUCCACACCUUGAGCACGUGGCGCUUGACGCCGACCUCGUCGCAGAACUGCUGCACGGCGGCCUCGUCGUGCUUCUGGAUGCGCCACCCCACGCGCUCCGCGAACGCCAGCAUCCUGUCCUUCUGCUCCUGCGUGAACUUGGUGCGGAACCGCUUCUUGCCGGACCCGGACCCGCCCGAGCCGGAGGGCCCCGCGCCGCCCAGGGACAUGCCGCUCAGCGGGCCCAUGGCGGACAUGGGCCCGGCCAUCCCGGACAGGUCGUCGCCCUCGUCGCGCCCGCUGUGGGAGGUGGACGGCAGCGCCAGCGGCCUCGGCGCGUGCCCCGCCGCCGCGGCGGCGGCCGCGGCCAUGUGGAGCGGCUGGCCGUGGUGGUGGUGGAAGUACCCGGCCGGGGUGCGGUAGUAGGGCGAGAACUGGUGGUGCGGCGUGGCGCCGUAGGCGACCAGCGCGGCGGGGGAGAUGGGCGAGCCCUCGGCGGUCGGGGACUCCUUGCGGUGGAAGUUGCGGUGGCAGUUGCACGCGGCGCAGCGGAGCGCGUCGAGCGUGCCCUCCUCGCCGGCGGCCAUGAACUCGCCGCACCCGUCCACGGCGUGGCCGCCGAUGCCGACGGCGUGGUUCUUGAGGCACUCGCGGUACCUCCCGCCGCCGCCGCCGCCCGGGGCCUUGGCGCGGGGGACGGGCUCGCCGGGCGGCCUGGGCGGCGCCACGCCGCCGCCGAACCCAGCUGCCUGCGGCGGGGUCUCGUAGCUGGAGCUCACCGGCAUCGGCGCCAUCUCCUCGUCGCCGUCAUCGUGGUCGUCGAAGUCCAUGGCCGUCGUCGACCGGCGGCAGGUGUUUCUUGUGCCUGGCCUGGGUAGCGUGUGUGUUCUCGAGUUAUGGCAGGCGAGGGCUAAGAGGGGCUUAGCAAGGUUAAGAGCGGGAUGAAGAGAUAAGAGAGGUGGGAGAGAGUGUGGACACCGUCUGGCUGCCAGUUUUGACGCGCCGCUGUGCUGCAGGAAGGCUGCAAGAGCCGCUGGUGCGUACUAGCUGCUAGUGUCGCUAGGGCGAUGUUGGUUUGAUGGUUUCUCUGAUUCUCUCUCUAGCCAGCGAAAUACCACCCUCUCUCUCUCUCUUUGGUUACUCUGAUUCUCUCUCUAGCAGCGCAGUACCUCCCUCUCUCUGUCUCCUGCUCUCCGCAUGCCUCAUCGAUCGAUCAGGGUCGUUCUUGUCUGAUCUGAUGAUCUCUCAGCAGCGCAGGGCCGUCUUCCGUGGAGUGAGAUUUUGUGAGGCUCUUUCGCGUCGUGCUCAUGUCUUUGCCGCAGGCCAUGGCUGUCCCUCUCGGCGCUGCUCUUUUCAACUGGUUUGGCUCCGACGCCUUUUAAAUUGCGGUUUAGAAUAUGUGACCGUGACACCCGGUCUUUCUUUUCUCGCGGCUUUUUGCCCGAAUCUAUGUAUGGCAGCUUCGAGGUCUUCUUAACAAAGAAACUUGGAUCAGUGCGGUGUGUUGAUCAGGUAUUCACGGGCAAAAUAAACCGCAAACUGUAGAAUGUCCUCGCCUACGUGCAGUAUUAUUUAGGGGUCCAUCGAGCCUAAGCUAGCCGGCUGCGUCCAUAGCACGUACAGCACACACACAGGAUCUAAGCUAGCAAAAGUCAAACCCAUGCUGAUUUUACGUAGUGUCACAGCAUCCUCGCAAAGAAGAAGUAAAGCGGAAAAAAAAUUAGGUGAGGACGGUCCGCAUACUGGAUUCCGUGCGGCCCGAUGCCCGAUGCGUCGCACCAGGAGGCAAUCCACGAUCCGCAAACUCGACAGCUCAGACUCUUGUUUCAAGAGUAAAAAGCUCGCAGCUUGGGCUCGGCUCCAAUGCCUGCAGCUCGGAGCAGACGGCUCUCGGACGGAAUUUGAUUAGGCUCCAUCGUAACAUCAGGAGCCCUUCUCACCUCGUGCAGUCUGCCGCCGCAUCCUCCGUCAUCCGCUACUGCAUCCUUUGCGUGCCACCGACGCCUCCGCCGCCGCAUCCUCCGUUCUCGCCGCCACAUUCCUUGCGUGCCGCCGCCGCCGCUGCCACCGCAUCCUAGAUCGUGGCAAGGAAGGACAACCGCCAUGGAAGUCUUCAACGAGCAUCGCAGCCGUAGCAUCCGUCAUGGGAGAAGGAGGCCAGGAUCGCAGCCGUAGCAGCCGAUGGUAGCCUCCUUCUCCCAUGACGGAUGCUACGGCUGCGAUGCUCGUCGAAGACUUAUAUGGCGGUUGUCCUUCCUUGCCACGAUCUAGGAUGCGGUGGCGGCGGUGGCAGCGGCACGCAAGGGAUGUGGCGGUGAGAACGGAGGAUGCCGCGGCGGCGGCGGCGGCAUGCAAGGGAUGCGGCGGCGGAUGACGGAGGAUGCGGCGGCAGACCGCACGGGGCGAGAAGGGCUCCUGAUGUUUGGGCUCCUGACGUUACGAUGGAGCCUAAUCAAAUUCCGUCCGGGAGCUGUCCGCUCUGAGCUGCAGGCAUUGGAGGGAGCCGAGGCCAAGCUGCAAGCCUUUGCUGUUGAAACGAGAGCUUGAGCUGUCGAGUUUGUGGAUUGUAGAUUGCCUCCUAGUGGCGACGCGUUGGGCAUCCGGGAACGAACCGCAUAGAAUCGUGUAUGCGGACCGUACCCAUCCAAUUUUUUUUCCUAAAAGGUCACAACAGUACUUGUGGGUGCUUUAAACUUGGUAAGUGGGCGCUUUUCAUUGGCGCAUGAAACAAUCGUGCAUCUGAUUAAUUUAUGCACUCCAUGUUCGAAUUUGAUAUAUGAUCAGAUGUACUACAGUACUACGAGCUGUUUCCUACGACAAAAUCAAAUCCAGAUAGACAGCAUCAAGUCGUUAUUAAUCGGAUGAUUCAAGUUGAAGUGAUGUAAGCAGCAGGCAUCAGGCUUUUCCCACAACGUCGAACCGUGGGAGCGCGUCACUUUCCAGGGGAGGAGAGGAGCAAGAAAGACCGCGCCAAAUCCGCAUCGCAUUCAUACGAACCAUGAGACUAGUAUUAAAACGGAAUACGUUUGCCAGCCGAAGUAUUUUGUUUGCACCCAUCUUACUUCAUGACUCAGUUAUAGUUGUAAUACGUAUGUCUUCACUGAUCACUUUUGCAGCAGCAACCGGGGAAAACCAGUACUACUACUCCUAGUAUGGACAAUGGAGUGGUCGCAGGAACUUCCAUGUUCUCACGCGCAGUUAAAGUGUACGAAAGCAGUAGUAGUAGCUAGUAAUAAAGCAAAUAAAAGACCCCGGCCCGUCGGGUCAACUCUCCAACAAGACGCAUCGACUACUCGAAAUGACGGAGGAAUAAACCGACCGACCGCGGCCGCCGUGCGCUGCGCCGAGCAAUUCGCAGGGUCCCCGUUGUGCCAAGGGGGACGAAAAGCAUCGGAAAUGGCAACAGAUGGGCUACCUCUCUCUAGCUAGUAGCUACACACACGACCACCCUAGAUGAAUAUUCGCGCAUCCAUCCGUCUGGUCCCCCCGCGUCCAGCAGCGACGCAAACCCCCCUCCUCCUCCUCCUCCUCCUCCUCUCCCCGAUCAACGCACGGAACCGCCUGACAUCUGAACAAACGUGCUGCCGCUUAACAAUCUAAAUCUACACGUGACGCGGGUUGACCGCCGGCCGCUUAACCGUCCGGCUAAUAGUCUCCGAUUCCGGCCGGCCAAGCGAAAUCUGUCCCAACGCAACGCUCAUCUCUCUGAUCUAAUCCACCUCGCUACCUACUAGCUGCUUGUCCCAUCCGGCCGGGCGCCCAUGUCACGUCAUGAUCAUAGAGGGGAUGCACAUAGAUAGGCAUCCGUCCGCGCCCGGGCCGGCGGGCGUAACGUAAUCCCGGCAACUCCCCAAGCCGCGUAGUACGUCCUGCCGCGGCCAGGUGGUUCGCGGCCGGGACACACGUGUUCAGGCCUGCGCGCUCGGGCCCUGCAUGCGCGGCAUCUCUCGCCACUUAAGAUGCGGAGAACGUCACCCGCACCGCGUAGACGUACUACUACUACUAGUAGUAGGUUGUUUGCCGCGCGCGCACGUUGUUUCUGCAAACGGGAGGGUUCGAUGUAAAUUCCGGCGAGCGGUGGGGGAAAAAUUAGAGGCGACGACGAUGGGUGACGCCGAUCGGGCGGAACUAAGGCCUUGUCUUGGGCUAGGGCCUUAUCUGGUGCGAUAAGGCGAUGAGAAUCGUCAGUCAGAGAGCUUAAGCGCCACAGGUGUCGUGUCCACAGGCUGCUAAUCCGGCCGGGCUGACGCGAUCGAUCCGCCGGAGGUCUCCAUCGACCCGCGGCCGAGCGAGAGCGGUGUGGUGCGUGGUCCAGGCGGCCGGCGUGGCCGCAUGCCGCGCCGGUUGCUUUCGGCGGCAGUUUGGAUACGGGGGUCCGGUCCGGUCCGGCCCGGGGAGGGGCGGCCGUGCGUAAUCCGGCACCGGCCGGAUCUAGUUCGCGAUCUCGUGCUGUGGGCCUGUAGCGGCCUGCUGCCGGCGUUCAGUGACAUGACAGUUUUGGUAGCCCCCGUUCGCACGGGCCUGUGAUACCGUCCCCUCUAUUAAUUUACACCGCGCCAAGUGCGGUUAGUACAGGAGCAAGGGUCAAGCAAGCAUAGUACGAUCCUACACCAGUCAAGGAUCGCACGCUCUAGCUAGCACACCUUCACCAUGCGCUGCCUCCGUCCGUUGCGAGUUGCGACCAACCAGCCAAACAGGGACGAAGAGAAGAGAUGCAUUCAUCAUUCGAGGGCGCCGGAUCGGAGCGCCAAAAGCUGAAAAGCAAAUGCGCGAGCAGUCGACAGCGCGCUGGCCAUGCCGCGGCUGAAAACACGGGUCUCGUAUUCGUGCAUGCAUGCAUGGAGACGGACGCAGGCGGGGGCAGGGGCAGGCAAUGCAGCGCAGAGCCGAGGCCGGCCAUGCGUUCGCGCCCCCGUCAGGUCAGGUGGGCAGGGGGGACAAGCGCGGAAGGGAACAAAAGCGCGGCACAUACGCCGCCCUGCCAUUGGCGCGGGCUCUCGCAAUAUUCGGACUGCUCGCCGGCCCGCUGCCCGCUGCUCUCUGCGGCAGCGCAGGGGUGGGCAGAGAAGGGGUUAUUGAUAAAGCCAAUGCCGGCAGCGGCAUGCGUGCAUGCAUGGGCAUGGGAAAGCCUUCAUCUAUCAGCCGCAGCUGCCCGGCCGGGAUGGCCCCCGGAGCAGAGCCGAGGGUGUGGUCCGGCCGGCCGGGGCGAACGAAUCGACGGAAGGCUGGGGGGUGGCCGCGCUGCCGGCCAGCGGCAGUGCGCGCAUGUCCGCCUGCGCACGUAGCGCCGCUGGCUGGUCUGCAGAUUCACGGCUCUGGGCUCGAGCCGAGGCACAGCGGCGCAGAGCAGGCGGCCGUCGUCAGCCCGUCACAUGAUGCACCUGCCAGGAGGAGGAGACCGCGCCAUGCCGUCUUGGCUGUAUUUGUUGGUGCGCGCCGGAAAGACGGACCCACCGUGCAGGACCGGUCCUGGGAGGUCCGGAGCAAAGAGUAAAACUCGAGACCUUUAAUAUAAAUAUUAUAAUAAAUAUUUGAUAUUAUAAUACAUAUAUAUAAAAUGUUACCAACAAAUACUUAAAUAUAUCUAGAAGUAAUAUUUAUAUCAAAUUAUUUAUACAUAUUACCUUGAAAGUUUGUUUGAACAUUUCUCGAUGCAAAGUCACUUAUGAUAGGGUUGAUUGUCAAUCUUAUCCAAUAAUUUCUUCUCGAUGCAUAAUGUUGCCAAACCAUUUAACCUCUCCUGAGUCAUUGUUGAUCUCAAAUAGUUCCUCAAUAACUUCAACUUUGAAAAGAUUCUUUCAGCCGAUGUGACAGUCACAAGCACAGUAAAUAGGAGUUGGUAAGCAAUGGAGACAUUAGGAUAACAAUCCACGUCUGACAUGCUCAAAAAUCUCCAUAGCAGACAUUACGCUAUCUGGUAAAGUGAAUUUCAUAUUUUUUAAUUCAAAAAUAAGAUCAUAUACCUUAACAUCAGAUGAACCAUCAAAAGAAAAAGUUUCUGAAAAUUUAGUAUAACAUUCUUCAAGUUCAUUAUCAUUUAAUGAUUUCAAAGUGCUUGAGCUCAUCAAAAAUCCAAAUAUAUCUUUAAACACCAUGAGUUCUUCAAAUCUGUUCUUCAAAGAAGCGACUGCCAUAUCAACCAAAAUAAAAAAAAUAUUCAACUUCAAAAGUCUUCUCAGCUUCAAGAAUUUCCUCUUGGCAAUUACUUUCAUCAAACUAUUUCUUUCUCAUAGCACGACGUUUUUCUGGAAAUGAUGCCUCUACACCCAUGUCUAUUACAAUAGCUUUGGCGAUGAUCAGACUAGAAGAAAACCCCUCAUUUAUGUAAUUCUCAAAGUAUUGCGUUAUACCUUGUAUUUGCUUCAAAGUAGAGUUAAUGCACAUGGCUGGCGAUUGCAACUUCUUGCUCACUUUAUUUACAGCAAAUAAAAUAUCAUGCCAGAUAACCAUACCAAGUAGAAACUCAAAGCUGCCAAGUGCAUCAAAUAAAUUUUUUGCAUCACUUCUAUCCUUAGGUUCAAUGUUAGAAGUAUGAUGUAACUCAGACAAAGCAGAUCUUAACUCAGACAAAGCAGAUCUUAACUCAGUAGCUUGAUAUCUUAUUGCUAUAACACUUUUGAUUCGACUCUCCCAACGAGUAUUGGACAAUAAUUUCACAGUAGACUAGAAACAUGUUUAAGAAAAAUAUUCCACCUUUCAUAGAACCAGCAAAUAAUUAUAUAUGUGUUGAACAAUUCCAAAAAAUAGAACAACUUUCUCACUAGAUUUUGCCAUAUCACAAAGAGUAAGAUUUAGACUAUGAUAUGCACAUGGCAUACACAAUGCUCUUGGGUUGAGAUCAAGUAACUGUGUUUUUACUCUUUAUAUUUUCCUUUCAUAUUAGAACCAUUGUCAUAGCCUUGAUCCCUUAUGUCACUAAUAUUUAGGCCAAAGGACUCCAUAGAUUCAAGCAAUACAUUAAAAAGCCCCAAGCCAUAUGUGUCAUCCACCUUCAAGAACCCUGAAAAAUACUCCUCAAUUUUUAUCUUGUCAUCAGACAAAUUAACACAUCGAACUAAUAAAGUCAUUUGUUCUUGAUGACUGACAUCGGGGGUACAAUUUAGGAUAACGAAGAAAUACUUGGCCUCUUUAACAACCUUUAUGAUAGAACUUGUGAUAUCAGAAGCCAAAAGAAAUAUCAACUCAUUCUGAAUUUUAUGACUGAGAUAAUGAUAAUGAAUUUUUUUUUCUAAAUACGUUUAAGGUGGUCUUGCAUUACCAAGUCAAAUUCUGCAAUCAUCUCAGCACAAGCUAAAAAGGUACAUUAUAAAGCUGCUCACUGCUUCCUCUGAAAGCCAAAUUGCGUUUACCAAGAAAUUUCACAAUGACUAUUAUUCUUAACAAAACUUGCCUCAACUGUUCCUUCUCCUUUGUGAUUUGCUGCUGCAAUUCUUUAUCAAUUGUUUCCAUUUUUCGCAGUCUAGCUCUCAAUUGAUUCCAACUGUUCAAGUUACUAAUAUGCUCGACACUAUUUUCAUAUUCUCUAAGCUUCUCACUGGUAUGCUUCCAAUUUCUUAACCCAUCACUUGCUAAGAAACUAGGACUCUUACUAGUGUUAGACUUGAAGUUCUAACAUCAGAAACAAAAAACUUUGGCAAUAUGCUUCGAAUAAACUAACCAUUUUCUAUCAUGUACCUCUCCAUUGCUUAAUUUUCUAGAAUAAUGAGCAAUGAAAAGUGUCUUGCGGCAGCAUCUAGAGGAAAUUUGAUAUUUUCUUCUAGGCCCUUUAUUGACUAAUAUGUCUCUUGCUUUAUUAUCAAGAUUAUCCCAAUUUCUUGGAUCAUAAAUAUCUGAAGUGUAAACUGAUUCCUCAUCAACACUAGCAGACUGUGCAUGUGCACAUGAUGCAUUUACUGUGAUCUGAGAGUCACUUACAUUGUUAUCAUCGAUGUUGAUGUUAACAUUUUCUUCCUAAUUCCCAUUAGUUGGUUCAUCCGCAAUAACUAUUGCCAACUCAUCUGGGUUCGUCGAAGCGCCUGUAUUACUCAUAGGGCCCUCAUUACUCUUGCAAAAUUUAUCCAUAGCUCCUCUCUGUGAUUCUAUCAACUCAUCCACACGUCCUUUUCUUUUCCUUUUCUCGUAACCUAUUUCAUAUUUUCUAGACGACAUGAUAUCCCACAGUGCUGAAAUUAUUAUAAAUACACAAUAGUUAUAAAUCAUUUGAGAUUAAAUAACUUGUGAGAGUGAAUUAAUAAUGAAUGGUAUGAAGAAUUGAGAAAUUGGCAAUCGAAUCACCUGAUCACAUAAGAAAAUUGGCGCCAACCGCAAGGUCCGCAAGCAACAAGCCGAGAACCAACGGCACGUAGGGGUUCUCCGCGCUCGCCGAGCGCUUCCUCUCCGUGCGCUCGUUCAGCAACACCACCUCGUGGUCACUCAACGUGUGCAACUGCAUGCAUGCACGCACACCUCAUAUUGGUCAGGAACAACGAUUGCCGGGCCGUCGGGGUUGUAUGCGCACACGUAUACAGCGAUGAGUACCAUACCUGGAUGCCUGCGCAGACGCGCGUCGUGCAGUCCAACAACUGCUCGUCGACGUGCACGACGCGGCGGCGGCCCUGGCACCUGGUGGCAGUCGAGAGUACGUAGUUCUAAAUUCUAAUCACAAUCUGGCCUUGGCGCGGCCCCUGGACAUCGUGUACUUGAGUUUCUAAAUUCUAAUCGCGAUCCCUCCUAAUCCCGUCUAUCUCCAGGGCCCCUGUCUAUCUCUCAUCGUUUGACCUGGCCACCUGGGGUGGAACCCCUAGGAUUUGGGGGCCUAGGGUGGCCACCCCUCCCCCCAGGGCCGGCCCUGAUUUUCUAGACGACAUGAUAUCCCACAAUACUGAAAUUAUUAUAAAUACAAAAUAGUUAUAAAUCAUUUGAGAAUAAAUAACUUUUGAUAGUGAAUUAAUAAUUAAUGGUAUGGAGAAUUGGGAAAUUGGCAAUUGAAUCACCUGAUCACAUAGCGAAUUGGCGCCAACCGCAAGGUCCGCAAGCAACAAGCCGAGAACCGGCAGCACGUAGGGGUUCUCCACGCUCGCCGAGCGCUUCCUCGCCGUGCGCUCGUUCAGCAACACCACCUCGUGGUUACUCAAUGUGUGCAACUGCAUGCAUGCAUGCACGCUGUAUAUUGGUCAGGAACAGCGAUCGCCAGGCCGUCGGGGUUGUAUGCGCGUGUGUAUUCAGCGAUGAGUACCAUACCUGGAUGCCGGCGCAGACGCGCGUCUUGCGGUCCAACAGCCGCUCGUCGAGCGCAUGACGCGGUGGCAUCCCUGGCCCCUAGCGGCGGUCGAGAGUAUGUGGUUCUAAAUACUAAUCGCGAUCUGACCCUGGCAGCGACCCCUGGACAUCGCGUACUCGCGUUUCUAAAAUCUAAUCGCGAUCCUUCCUAAUACCGUCUAUCUCCAGAGCCCCUGUCUAUCUCCAGUCGUUUGACAUGGCCACCUAGGGUGGACCCCUAGGAUUUGGGGGCCCGGGACGGCCGCCCCCCUCCCGCCAGGGCCGGCCUUGAUUUUCUAGACAACAUGAUAUUCCACAGUGAAAUUAUUAUUAAUACACAAUAGUUAUAAAUCAUUUGAGAUUAAAUAACUUGUGAUAGUGAAUUAAUAAUUAAUGGAAUGGAGAAUUGGGGAAUUGGCAAUCGAAUCAUCUAUCGCAUAAGCAAAUUGGCACCAACCGCAAGGUCCGGAAGCAACAAGCCGAGAACCGGCGGCACACAGGGGUUCGCGCUCGCCGAGCGCUUCCUCGCCAUGCGCUCGUUCAGCAACACCACCUCAUGGUCACUCAACGUGUCGGGGGGAAACAUUAAUGACUUUUUUACGCUCCCUAAUUAAUGAACACAAGGGCUCGGGCCCACCUCUGACACCCGUAAUCUCCACCGAUGACACAUCCCAGAGGCACUCCGCUCCGCCUCGCCCGACCCCAGGGUCGCAGGGUCGGACGCACCCGACCCCCCGAGGCCUCGCCUCGUCUCAGCCGAUGGAGUUUCGCCUCGCCCGACCCCGGGCGCAAGGGGUCGGACGCGCCCGACCCCUCGAAGCAGGACUCCGCCUCGCCCGACCCCGAGCGCAAGGGGUCAGACGCGUCCGGUUCCACUGGACAGAGCUCCGCCUCGCCUGAAGAUACGUGCAGGUUGUCAGACGGAAGCACAAGCUCUGUGAGUCCGCCGGGCUCACCUAACCGAUGGGACGCGCACGCUUCCAGAUACAGUUCUGACACAUGGAGAGGCGCCCGCGUUCCUCGACAUGACCUGUCGGAAUAUUGGUCUGCGCACUGCUGCCACAAUUGCGCAGGGCUACAACUGCACCAUCCUACCCCACUGUGACAUCUGUCAUAGGGCACUCAUCACCCAUGCCAUCUAACGGAGGAGGGCAAACCGCCUGGUUUCCCGCGCAGCCUAGCAAGAAGAGCACGUCAGCCACGCUGCCCCGUCAGGACGCAUGGCUACAGUGGUCGACCGUUGCCCGCGACGUGCACAGCUACAGUGGCCAGUCGUCAUCACCAACUUGCGCAGCUACAGUGGUCGGCCGCCAUGCACGACCCGCGUGCCCGGAUACAAUGGCCGACCACCGAGUCAUCGAUGGGACCCAACGGCAACCACCCUCCCUCGGUAGCAGUUCCGACAAGACGCAGAGACAAGAAGGGAAGACGACGUCUGCUGUAGCCCCACUUGCUUUCCUUUCUACCUUUCUACCUUUCUUACUCCUAGCUUAUUUGUAACCCCUGUGUCCUCCUUGCACUAUAAAAGGAGACUAGGGGGCCCGAGGGUAGGGGGACCUCGAAGACCGAACCUCGAAUUCACCCAAGUACAAACCAACCGAACCACCAGACGAGAAACACUCACAGAGACCCGGGAACCAGCUUCCCUCUCUCGCCCGUUUGUAACCCCUACUGCAAAUCUGGUACGAGUAACACGAGCAGCCGCUCACACUGGACGUAGGGCUAUUCCUGCCCGAACCAGUCUAAUCCUUGUGUCCCCCCGUACAACCAUCGGAGCCUAACGCGCAAAGAAAACAAAUUUACUAAGACGGUAGUCUCGACCCGUGAUUCUUGACAUCAACACAACGUGUGCAACUACAUGCAUGCACGCACGCGGCAGAUUGGUCAGGAAUAGCGAUCGGCGGGCUGUCGGGGUUGUAUGCGCGCGCGUAUACAGCAAUGAGUACCAUACCUGGAUGCCGGCGCAAAUGUGUGUCGCGUAGUCCAACAGCCACUCGUCGACACGCACGACGCAGCGGCAGCCUUGGCCCCUGGCGGCGGUCGAGAGUACGUGGUUCUAAAUUCUAAUCGCGAUCUGGCCCGGGUGGCAGCCCUCGUGUUUCUAAAUUCUAAUCGCGAUCCUUCCUAAUCAUGUCUAUCUCCAGGGUCCCUAUCUAUCUCCUAUCGUUUGACCUAGCCACCUGGGGUGGGCCCCCUGGGAUUUGGAGGCCCGGGGCGGCCGCCCCUGCCCCCACAAGGGCUGGCCGUGUCACCGUGUGUCUGCCACCUGAUAUUUACGACGUACAUAUCCAUUUCAUCCCGUUUCUUGCGAUAUCACAACCCCUGCAAUCCAGCUGAUGCUAGAGGUUUGAAGGGAUUUCAGGCGAUGAUGUAGUGUGAACGAAUACGAGGGGUGUGACUAUUGAAUGGUGAGGUGAGAGUGAGGGUGUUCGUUGUCUCUGGCAUUCUGGCAACCUUCGAGCUUAGAGGGAUGGCCAAGAAUGCGUCUGGAGAGGUUGGUGGCGAUGUCUCUGCAUGCGGUACAACAAAGGUGAUGCGGGUGGUCAAUGGACAAAGUUGGUAGAAGAACACCGAAAUGGUUGUAGUUUGAGGUAGUGGUGCUAGUGUCGACGACGGGAACACCACCAGGGACGGUCACAUAAGGCAAUAAGGGUGGGAGGUGGGCCAAAGGCACAUUGUUAGAAGAAACACAUAUCAGUCGUUAGAGGUUGAAGACGAUAUGCCGACCAUUGAAGCGGGGUUCAAUGGUUCCACACGUCACCUGAUGAAAACACUAAUGCCCCGUUUGGCACGGCUCUGGCUCAUGAAAAAACAGUUCUCGCUCUGCCUCAUCUGGAAAAGCAGCGUUUUCUAGGCUCUGGCUUGGAGGAAAACAUGUGGCAAAACGACUUCUCCUAACUUUUUUAGAAUGUAUAGAAGAUAUCAAUUGUCCAUUGUGCCCUUCAUAUGUUGCUUGCAUACCCUUAUCUCCUACCUCUUUUUUUUUUUUUCCUUCAUAUUUAUUUUUUUCUCCUUUUCAAAUUCACCUAUUUUAUUCCUUCAGUAUCCAUCUUUCCUUCCCAUGCUUAUCCGAUCUUCACGCGUGGACGCCGCCACCCUCGUCUCCCGACGCCUCCAGGCUGCUGCUGCCCUCUGCCCUACCUCCAUGGCCACCGCGCCAAUCUCCAGAUGCUCGUCGGCAGCCCCGCCUCUCCAACACCUCCGCCCCGCGUUCGCUGUUCGGAGGCGCCCCCUAGCCGUUGCCCUCCUCCCCGCGUCCAUGGCCGGCGCCUAGAUCUCCCCCAUGCUCGUUGGCGCCCCCGUCUCCCUCGAGCUCGCCAGCCCCCACCGCCAUCCACCCACACCUCCAUGGCCGCCCCGCGUCGGUUCGCCCACACUUCCAUGGUCUGCCCCACGCUGCUCGUCGCCAUUUUUCUGAGGAGUGAGGAAAAGGAUGGAAAGUAGGAUGCCAAGAUGAGGAGAAGUCGGGGGAAGCCACAUUUUUUGACUUCACCUCUCCAAUGUAAGCCGUUUUCUGGCUUUUGCUUGGCUUUUGUGAAAAGUCAUUUUGCCUCUACCCGUUUGGCAUGGCUUCAGCAAAAACGGCUCAAGAAGCCGGUGGAGAAGCCGUGCUAAAAGGACUAUGUACAUGGGAGAUAUUAUCUCCCGACGUUAGAAAAGUCAGUGCAUGGAAGUAGACAGACAAACAGGGUAUGUUAUACCUUUCCUCAUGGCAAACACUGGUAAGUGGCUAAUAAGUGCAACAAUGCAGCACUGUUUUCUAUCCCAGUUUCUACCCUAAGGCAAACGUAAGUGGACAGCUAGCGUGGAUUAAAUAUCCAAAGUUUAACUUGGCAAACAGCUACAUGUGUCAAGCUUUGCGUGCGCACAAUUAAGCUGUGUGGGUCAUUUGAGUUGAUGUUUCUUGUGUCAGUAACAGCGCGCAAAAUGUUACUCGAUAUGACUAGCCGUUCGGCACCCCUAGCCCCCAUGUCCAGGUGGAUGGGCCUCCUCUCUGAUCACAUGCAUGCACGUCUGGCCGUGUACGUCAAGUACUUGGUACUAGACCACUAUUACUAGCACCGAGAUGUCCCGAACGAACAUACGUGCACAGCGUCAUCAAAUUGAUGAAGCAUUCGCUGGUGUGCGCUCGUCAUAGGGCGAGGCGUGUGUCCGCACUCCACGGUAGCUGAAGAGUGAUCGUGCAUGCACGGCGGCGCAGAUCGGUCGUGGACCGGCGGCCGGGCCCGGCCGUCCGACCGUCCGUGUUGCUCUGACAUGUGACCACCAUCCCUCCCCAAGCCGUACCUGCCGUAAGCUGUGCCCGUUCUAGGACUGCGAAGCACACGUCCGGCCGGUUCAUGCUUCCCCUGGCGAGCUACAGAGGUCUUUAUGUUUGAGAGAGAGGGAGGGAGGGAGAGAGAGAGAGAAUGCAUGCAUGCAUGAAGAAGGACAAAAGCCACUGUUGGGGGCCCUUGGGGGAGUGGCGUGCAGCAAGUACGCACGUAGUACGUGAGUGGGCAUGCAUGGCGGAUCGGCGCGCUACAGCGCUCGCGCACACGCUUCGCAGUUCGCAUAGAGCGGGAGGUAAUAACACGGAGCUUGCAGGCCAAUCGCAUAGCAUGCUGCCGCAGCUCAUGGACGCACGGGCAGCUCAUUGAUAUCCCGAUCAGCGCCAUCCGUGGCACUGCUAUUGGCUGUGUUGGCGUGUUCCCGGGGCUCCGGACCUCCGGUGACCGACCUGUCCGCGCGAGCGUACGUGCAUUUCCGUGUCGCUGCUGAUGCCACGGCCGAGUCCCACGGCUACAUGUGAUUGGCCUCGGUGGCUCGGGAGUCGGGGGGAGAGAGAGAGAGAGAGGGGGGGGGGGGGGGGGGGGGGGGGGGGGGAGGAGGAGUUUGCGAAGAAAGUGAUUGCGGGAUGGUGACAAUACGAGAGGUAGGGCCGGCCGUGAUUUUUUUUUCUAUUUAUGUUCCCUGUGCAGGCUUUUGUUUCAUAUCAGCAAUUACUAAUUGUGUUACUGAAGUGGAAGUACAAGUGUCGAUAAAACUAGCUGUACCAUUUUCAAACAUCUAAACUCAACAACUGAAAAAUUUGUUAGUAAUUUUUCAUCACACAGAAGCUCCUAUUUUUGCAGUUUUUUUCAGUUUAGUUGUUUAGUUUUUAUCUCGUCACAGCGUUAGGUUUGUUAAUACCAAUUGUACUGACACGGGGAUAUAGGAACUCAAUUUAGGUCGGCACAUAUUAUGCGGCAUCAAAAUUAUAAAUUCUCCACAUCGCAAUUAUACAAGUUAGGUUUGUUAAUCUUUUAUUUCACUCGGGAGUUUGUAGCCUUGCUUAGAUUUUUUGUGUCAAUCUUGUAUCAUAAUAUGUCAGAAGAGCUCAAAUUAAACUUCAAACCAUCAUAGACUCACAGAUCAUAUUGAUGAACCAACUCUAGCUGCCAAACCUUUAGGCUCCCCUUGAAACCAACCGCACUAAUAGCAUGACUAGCAUAGCUUCAACUAGUGAUAGUUAAUAAUAUCACAAACAAAAGUUUCCUCUAGGUAUUUUUCUGUUUCUCUAGUGAUGAGAUACGUGAAGGUUCUUUAGAGUUCGUAGUUGUUCUUCUCACAUUGUUUCUGGCAUGGACUCUUUAUUUCAAUUUAGACCGUUAGCGAUCAUUUAAACAAAUGGUAUAAAUUAAUUUUUUCAUAUUUUUGAUUAAAUGGUAAUUUAUAGACCUUCUAUGCGAACAUGGUAGGUACGAUGACUAUCAAGGUAGCCACGACAACAGGAGUAGCUGUCUGGUGUCUCAGUGAUCGUUAGGAACAAAAUUUCUCUAGUUAUUUUUUUAUCUAGCUUCCUCAACAUAUAGUUUAUUUCGAGUACGCUCAAAGCCAGUCUCAGUUUCAUUGUACAAACUAGGAACUUGGUAACUAUGCCUGAUAAGUGCUAUGGGGAAAGCCAGUCUCAGUUUCAUUGUACAAACUAGGAACUUGGUAACUAUGCUUGAUAAGUGCUAUGGGGAUGAAACUCCUCUGUCAUGUGAUGAAACUUUCCCAUCUCUCUUAUCAUAAUGAUCAUGCCAAGUCAGCAAAAUUGCUGACGUGGUAUAAAUUUUAAUGCUUAUGAAACCUUCCAUUGAGACUGGACUAAGGCACCAACCGAGCUAAGACUGGCUUCGUACAGUACUUAGGUUAGUAUAUAGCCGCUCAGCUUAGGGAAGUUCCUAGGAGAACAGAACGGGGACUCCCCUAACCUUUGCGGGAUGUAUUCAAGUCCGCGGCGGAUCGUUGUUCCUUGCCGAUAAGGCGAAGAUUCAAAGAACCCUACCGGCAAAUACCACGCUCCCGCAGCUUCGACCACUGCCGGUUCUUCCCGGCAAGCGGCAGCAUCGGAUCCCACGUCGGCGUCAUGGCGCCUGUGCGUUUCCUGCCGAAUCUUUGGGCUCUCUCUUACCCUUGCAGCCUUGCUCGCCCGGCCGCGGCAGGCUCCAGCCUCCAACUCACAUGCCGCGCCGCCUGUGAAACAUAGACGGGAAAAGGGCGGUCUAUAGUCUAUUCUGCAGGCAAGGCGUUGGCGAUGGCUUUUUGGAACCGAUGGAUAGUAUGGAUUGGACUUGACUUUGAGGGGAGCUGCACUUUCCAUUGUGUUGUCCUAAUCAGGCCAUCGUUUCGUCCAAGCAAUCGAAAACGUGCACCUCCUAGUCUCUCCGUCUCUCUCUGUAGCUGCAUAUAUUCUUCAGCACAAAACAUGUCGAAUGCGACGGAUCAAUGGCAGCCAGCGAGGCAACCUCGUCGGUCCAGCGGGCAAUUAAGCCAGAACAGCCGGCGAAACACGACGCUGUCCGGCCAGUCUCUGUUCAUCUUUGGAGCGGCAGUUGGCUGCUUCUGCCAUGGCAUGAUCGCUGGAACGGGGGGCACGGGCGGGAGCACGGCGACAGGCAGGGGCGCGUGCAACCCCGGCCUGUGCGCCUCGUCGCCGUCUGACUGAAAGGUUGGUGAUAGCUGACAAGUUCGCGAGCGGUGUGAUGAGGCCAAAAACAUGCAAUUGACUAAUCAUGGGUCGCCAAAGGAUGCGGACAAACAAGCAAAGAGCACCGUGAUCGAGGGGCAUGUCGCUCUCGCAUCAACUGAUGAUGCUCUCCCUCUUGCUCUGCUGCUCCCAUGCACAGUUACCGCACCACCUUGCUGCUGCUACUAGUGUGUCAAUAAUUCAUUAGGUUUUGAGAUAUCAGCAGCCAGUAUUUCAUAGCAAUGCAGUUGCCCAAACAGAAUGCAAAUGCAAGCCUGUAAAGCACGCAGUGCGUUACAGUGCUGCGCUGCUUGAGGUCUUCAGGAGUUUAGGGUACGAUGGAUGACAUUGAUAUCUCGAUCUCUUUCUGAAAGAGAGGCCCUUUUCUAUGUGCAUGGGCUAGCUGUAUUCAGUGCGGACCAUGGAUGGAUGUAGGAUGCAUAGGGUAUGAGCUAGGCGAGGAGGCAGGAAGAAAUUAUGGUAAUGAUGAGAAGGAGGAGCGAAUGGAGACAAGGCAGGAUGUCUUGCCAUGCAUCGAGAACAGAGCGAGUGGGGGCACUGAAAUCUGCUACGUUUCUGUUUGUGCACGAGUAAAUAAUGACUGGUCGGUGUACCACUGUACUUCUGCUCCACUUCCGUACCGUGACAAAAAAAAGACAUUUUUAGAUGUUGUAUCACACGAAGCAAGGUGAUCAUAUACCGUAAGUUUGUUUAGAACAUAGAAAUUUCACAGUAAUUUUCAAGAUUUUGACGCGGUUAAAUAAUUUUGCAAAAUUACGACUAUUUGUAAGAUCGAUUUUGCAGAAAUGCAAUAAUUUGUGCCUCUGGUAAACCAAAACCAGAAGUUUGUAGGUUGAAACAAAAGUAACAUGGCUGUAGUUUCAUGUUACUCUUUUUUUUUUGCGGGUAAGUUUUAUGUUACUCAUCAGGUGCAAUAAUAAGUCUUUUAUAGUUGUGUGCAAAUAGUUGUAGUUUUAUUUUUUGAACAAAAAUAGUUGUACUUGUAUGAAAUUAACUAAAUCCUUUCUUCUUGACAUAAGGAAUACUCUUGAUUCCACCUUGUAUAAGGUGUGCACUUGACCAUCCAUUAUGAUAAAUCUUAUAGCCAUAGGCUAGCAAUACAAUGCCAGUACACGGAUUUGAUCUCUUGACUAUUAACAGGGAAACGUAAACAUAAUGUUCUUGGAUGGUAAAAUCUCCACGACUGUUAUUUCAGUGCGUGGCAUGGACACUUCAUCUUUACCUGAUCAUUCUGAAUAUGAACCGCAUAUAAGAAAGCAUUUUUUAAGAAGCAAUAAUAUUUGGAGAUACGUAGCUGCGUCCAUUCCUAGUAAUCAGUUUUCAAAUAAAUUAGCACACUCAUAGGCAGUUGUAAACUAUACGAAAUAAAUUAGCUACACUCAUGGGUGGUAGUCUAGUCAUAGGAUUGAGAGUCAUGUCUUUUUAUAUGACUACACUUUGUACGAAAUAAUCUUUGUAGGCAAUUCGUGGAGGUUGGGAGUGUUUCAAACUCCUUGUACCAAUUCGAUGUGACGAUUUUGAAUUCAAUAAAACUUAAUUUGUCUAUCGGAAAAAAGGCUAGAACUCAAACACCCAACUUGUUAUUAGACUAAGUCGUAACCUUGAUAUUAUUUUUUAAAAGAAAAGUUCGACUUCAGCUUGACACAAGAGAGGGCAAAAGACAUGUGCGAUCCAAAACCACAGAAUCUCAGGAUCAGUCCGAUCAGUAGUAGGAGCACAUGUAUGGUAAUGCAAGACUAAGUAAGAAGCCAGGCCGAGUGGUAAAGAAAAGAAAGAUGCAAAAACAAUCUGCUGACAGGUUACUGUUGACGACACUCGAUAUGUUGCUCGUAGGGGCGGCAACAAUAAUUUGAUUUGUGACCGUUCACUCGGGACUUUGUUGGUUUACAACGGUAGCAACUUGCCGGUGGCAUAAUGAUGCAUGAGGCUGCUACAGUGGCGCGCCACUUUGUUAUAGACAAAACGUACGACCCCCUCCUUUUUAUCACCAUCCCUGUGAUGUUGAGGCACGGAGACACUUGGUCAGUGCAACUAUUCAGGAUUUGUGAAGAAAUGAGUCACUCCACAUGCUCGUGUUCUCUUGUAGGGUUGUGGAAGUAAAAAAAAGAAGUGGCGUUAUUCCCUUUAUUAGUUUAUUGCCAGCCAAGAUGAAUGGAUCCACAAGAUGCAGUAACUUGUGAUGUUUUAACCAGCUUAACAAUUACCGUGGAAGGACGAACAACUUCUCGACGAACAAUCCCCACGUGAUCAAGUUUUUUGUUUUAACUCUCCCGUUUAAAUUCCAACGUUAUGCAGCAAUAUGGACCAUUCGAACUCUGUCGCCUCGUGUCACAAAUAUAUACUGCAACCAGCUGGCGCGCAAGGCUGGAGUUGAGCCGCAACAGCCAUUCCCCACAAAAGCAACAACACUUCGUGCGAUGGUUCGUACCGUACUCGUUGAUUUCAUUUUACCGCAGCCAAGAAAUACGGAGCUCCUAUGUAGCUUCCACCACCUAGAUAAAAUUGUAGCCCAUCAAUCUUUCUCCACAAAUAUUGUUCAACAUUUUUUACACUUGUUUCAACAAUAUGUAAACUCUAUAUCAACAUUUCGAAUAGACUUAAUUAACAUUGCACGAAGAUUGGAUAUUAUUUUUGACUUGUUCUCUCCACCUCACCCAGAUUUACCCACAUGUGAUACGUGCUUCAACAUUUUCUGAUUUAACAAUUCGCGUACUCUGAUUCAACAUUUCGAAGAGGCUAAUUCAAUAUUUCUUGGAGGUCACAUAUUAUUUAUGGUACGGGAUAUGGUAUUUAUUUAUUAGUCGUAUAUUUAUUAUAGCAUGUAACAGAAAUAAACUUCCCAAGAAAUGCAGCUACUGAACUUCUUUGCACUGCAGCAUACAGCCCGAUUUGUCUGGGCUAACUGGCCCAGUUACUUUUGCAGAUAAUGCGCUGAUCGCGCAUUAUAGAAGAGGUCGUUUGGAUUCUUCUUGGCCCCAAAAAAUCAACAGAAUUUCUAUAUAGACAACGUUAACGUAACAAAUGGGCUACAUUAUGCUCGGCCCAAUGGGCUAAAAUUUGCCGAGCGAGCUGCCAUCUUUUUUAAGUUUUGUUUAUAGGACGUAAGAAUUCACAGAUUUUUCAUGACUUCCAAAGGAAUUUUUCAACCAUGACUUGUUAGCGUAGUAGGAGCUCCCUCUCUCUAGAUCGUUUGGAUUCGCUUCUAAUGUGCAUAUAGGAGCUUAUAAGUUGGAUAAGACGUUUAAGUUUGCUUAAGGCAUUUAAAGUUUAUACUACCAAUGUGGGUUAAGGGCUUGUUUGGAAUGGAGUAUUUUCAAAGGAAUUUCAUAGGAUUCUUCUUCCUGCAUUUUGAUGACGUCACUGACGUUUGAAAUGAAGGAAUGGACCUUCCCAUUCCAGAGGAAAGUUUUGACUUCCUUCACAAAACAUAGGAAUAAAAACAUCCACCAUGAACCAUGGUUUUCACUAAUGGCUGAGAAAAGCGCACAUGAAGAGAGGGAAAGAAAGAGUGUGCACGGAAAUAGAGGCGCCAGCAGUCGGAAGAGUCAGCCGCCGGCGGUGAUGUCGCUGACCUGCUCCUACUCCGGCCACCGCCAACGCUGCCGCCAUGGCAUCCAACCAGCACGCACCGCCUUCCGGAGCAACCAGCCGUUGUGUGGCUUCGCUAGCCCUGGGCGUGACCUCGUGGCUAGCUAGCUCUAGCCGUACUCCAUAGCUUUUGGCGAGAGGAGCUAGAGAGACGAGGAGAAUGGGAGAGAGCCAGGAAACGAGAA